rnacentral:lncRNA from 1 species
CCAUCCAUAGCGUCGUGCAUUCCAUCAUCAUGCAGCAACAAGAACAAGAACAAGAACAACAACAACAACAACAACAACAACAACAGCAAGGCAUGCGUAUCUUUUUUCCACUAUCUCGACAACAACAUGUGGGUCAAGGUACUCUCGUCCAAGGCCAGGGCAUCAUCCAACCUCAACAACCAGCUCAAUUGGAGGCGAUCAGGUCAUUGGUGUUGCAAACUCUUCCAACCAUCUGCAAUGUGUAUGUCCCACCUGAGUGCUCCAACAUCAGGGCACCAUUUGCCAGCAUAGUCGCGGGGAUUGGUGGCCAAUGAAAAAAGCAAGAGCUAUACUAAUAGAUAGAUGGAUCCUCGUUGCUUAGCAGAUGCACCAAUCGAUGUAACGAUGACAAAUAAAGUGGCACGUACCAUCAUGUGUGACCCCGACCAGUGCUAGUUCAAGCUUGGGAAUAAAAGACAAACAAAGUUCUUGUUUGCCAGCAUUGAUUGUCAUUGUUCCAUUCACUGUGUAUUUAGUUGUUCAUCCCUAACCGCAGUUCUAGGCUUACACAUCAAUGGCUAUUUGCUCGUGCCGGCAGGUUCCUAUGUAAUCUACCGACUAAUGGUCGGCCUAUUGACCCAGUUUAUAGGCCGAUUGAUAUAUUAAUUGCUGCUCCCAAACUGACCGACCAGCUAUUAGUUACCAUUUUGCUGAACAUUGCACACAAUAAUAACUCAACAUAUUUUAAUGUCUAGAAGUAAAAGGGCCAUUUUAGCAGCAAAACAAGCGCCUGAUUAGGAACCAUCCAGCACUUUAAAUGUUCACCUAGAUAUUUCUACGUUGAUGCAAUUUUGAGAUUGGUGGCACCGAAACAUUCCUCAAAGCAAUUCUUUAUGGGACUCCAAAGAGGUGAAAAUAAAGUAAAGUUGCCACAUGGUAAAAUAUAAAUCAUGCGGCGAGCAAGAGCAAAUAUUGAGUCAUGAUAGCAAGCGCCAAACAUGCCAUUAAACUCUUCAUAUGGUUCCGUGCAGAGAAGGGGGAAAAUUGUUGGGGAACGUAGUCAUUUCAAAAAAAAUCCUACGCACACGCAAGAUCAUGGUGAUGCAUAGCAAUGAGAGGGGAGAGCAUCGUCCACCUACCCUCGUAGACCGUAAGCGGAAGCGUUAUGACAACGCGGUUGAUGUAGUCGUACAUCUAUAUGAUCGACCGAUCCUAGUACCGAACGUACGGCACCUCCGCAAUCUGCACACGUUCAGCUCGGUGACGUCCCAUGAACUCACGAUCGAGUAGAUCUUCAAGGGAGAGUUCCGUCAGCACGACGGCGUGAUGACGGUGUUGAUGAAGCUACCGACGCAGGGCUUCGCUUAUGCACUACUAUGAUAUGACCGAGGUGGAUUAUGGUGGAGGGGGCACCGCACACGGCUAAAGAUCAAUGAUCAACUUGUGUGUCUUGGGGUGCCCCCUGCCCCCGUAUAUAAAGGAGAAAGGGGGGAGGCGGCCGGCCAAGGAGGAGGGCGCGCCAAGGGGGGAGUCCUACUUAGGACUCCUCUUUCCUAUUAGGAGUAGGAGAAGGGGGAAAGGAAGGAGAGGAGGAGAAGGAAGGACGGGGCACCGCCCCUUCCCCUAGUCCAAUUCAGACUAGGCUUGGGGGGGGGGGCGGCCCAGCCCUAGCCAGCCCCUCUCUCUCCCUCUCUCUCCCUGAAGCCCAUUAACGCCCAUAAGAUCCCCGGGGGGUUCCGGUAACCUCUCGGUACUGUGGUAUUUAUCCGGUGUCCGAAUAUAACCUUCCAAUAUAUCAAUCUUUAUGUCUCGACCAUUUUAAGACUCCUCGUCAUGUCCGUGAUCAUAUCUGGGACUCCGAACUACCUUCGGUACAUCAAAACACAUAAACUCAUAAUACCGAUCGUCACCGAACGUUAAGCGUGCGGACCCUAUGGGUCCGAGAACUAUGUAGACAUGACCGAGACACGUCUCCGGGUUUAACCAAUAGCGGAACCUGGAUGCUCAUAUUGGCUCCUACAUAUGUUGGGGAACGUUGCAUAAAAUAAACUUUUUCCUAUGUUCACCAAGAUCAAUCUAUGAGUUCAUCUAGCAACGAGAGAGGGGAGUGCAUCUACAUACCCUUGUAGAUCACGAGCGGAAGCGUUCAAGAGAACGGGGUUGAGGGAGUCGUACUCGUCGUGAUCCAAAUCACCGGAGAUCCUAGCGCCGAACGAAUGGCACCUCCGCGUUCAACACACGUACGGUUAGCGUGACGUCUCCUCCUUCUUGAUCCAGCAAGGGGGAAGGAGAGGUUGAUGAAGAUCCAGCAGCACGACGACGCGGUGGAGGAUGCAGCAGAGUUCCGGCAGGGCUUCGCCAAGCGACUACGGGAGGAGGAGGUGUAGCAAGGGGGGAGGGAGGCGCCAAGACUUCAGGGUGCAGCUGCCCUCCCCUCCCCCUCCUUUAUAUAGGCCCCCUGGAGGGUGGCGCCGGCCCUGGAGAUGGGAUCUCCCAAGGGGGCGGCGGCUAGGGGGGUGGAGUGCCCCCCAAGGCAAGUGGAGGCGCCCCCCCCCCCCACCCUAGGGUUUCCAACCCUAGGCGCAGGGGGGCCCAAGGGGGUCGCACCAGCCCACCAGGGGCUGGUCCCCUCCCCACUUCAGCCCACGGGGCCCUCCGGGAUAGGUGGCCCCACCCGGUGGACCCCCGGGACCCUUCCGGUGGUCCCGGUACAAUACCGGUGACCCCCGAAACUCUCCCGAUCACCGAAACUGCACUUCCUAUAUAUAAUUCUUUAUCUUCGGACCAUUCCGGAACUCCUCGUGACGUCCGGGAUCUCAUCCGGGACUCCGAACAACUUUCGGUUUGCUGCAUACUCAUAUCUCUACAACCCUAGUGUCACCGAACCUUAAGUGUGUAGACCCUACGGGUUCGGGAGACACAUAGACAUGACCUAGAUGGCUCUCCGGUCAAUAACCAACAGCGGGAUCUGGAUACCCAUGUUGGCUCCCACAUGCUCCUCGAUGAUCUCAUCGGAUGAACCAUGAUGUUGAGGAUUCAAGCAACCCCGUAUUCAAUUCCCUUUGUCAAUCGGUAUUUUACUUGCCUGAGAUUCGAUCAUCGGUAUCCCAAUACCUCGUUCAAUCUCGUUACCGGCAAGUCACUUUACUCGUACCGUAAUGCAUGAUCCUGUGACCAGACACUUGGUCACUUUGAGCUCAUUAUGAUGAUGCACUACCGAGUGGGCCCAGAGAUACCUCUCCGUCAUACGGAGUGACAAAUCCCAGUCUCGAUCCGUGUCAACCCAACAGACACUUUCAGAGAUACCUGUAGUGCACCUUUAUAGUCACCCAGUUACGUUGUGACGUUUGGUACACCCAAAGCACUCCUACGGUAUCCGGGAGUUACACGAUCUCAUGGUCUAAGGAGAAGAUACUUGACAUUGGAAAAGCUCUAGCAAACGAACUACACGAUCUUGUGCUAUGCUUAUGAUUGGGUCUUGUCCAUCACAUCAUUCUCCUAAUGAUGUGAUCCCGUUAUCAAUGACAUCUAAUGUCCAUAGUCAGGAAACCAUGACUAUCUAUUGAUCAACGAGCUAGUCAACUAGAUGCUCACUAGGGACAUAUUAUGGUCUAUGUAUUCACACGUGUAUUACGAUUUCCGGAUAAUACAAUUAUAGCAUGAAUAAAGACAAUUAUCAUGAACAAGGAAAUAUAAUAAUGAUCCUUUUAUUAUUGCCUCUAGGGCAUAUUUCCAAAAGUCUCCCACUUGCACUAGAGUCAAUAAUCUACUUACAUUGUGAUGAAUCGAACACCCAUAGAGUUCUGGUGUUCAUCAUGUUUUGCUUGCGGAAGAGGUUUAGUCAACGGAUCUGCGACAUUCAGAUCCAUAUGUACUUUGCAAAUAUCUAUGUCUCCAUCUUGAACAGUUUCACGGAUGGAGUUGAAACGAUGCUUGACGUGCCUGGUCUUCUUGUGAAACCUGGGCUCCUUGGCAAGGGCAAUAGCUCCAGUGUUGUCACAGAAGAGAGUGAUUGGCCCCGACGCAUUGGGUAUGACUCCUAGGUCGGUGAUGAACUCCUUCAUCCAUAUUGAUUCAUGCGCUGCCUCCGAGGCUGCCAUGUACUCCGCUUCACAUGUAGAUCCCGCCACGACGCUCUGCUUGCAACUGCACCAGCUUACUGCUCCACGAUUCACCAUAUACACGUAUCCGGUUUGUGACUUAGAGUCAUCCACAUCUGUGUCGAAGCUAGCAUCGACGUAACCCUUUAUGACGAGCUCUUCGUCACCUCCAUAAACAAGAAACAUGUCCUUUAUCCUUUUCAGGUACUUCAGGAUAUUCUUGACCGCUAUCCAGUGUUCCUUGCCGGGAUUACUUUGGUACCUUCCUACCAAACUUACGGCAAGGUUUACAUCAGGUCUGGUGCACAGCAUGGCAUACAUAAUAGAUCCUAUGGCUGAGGCAUAGGGGAUGACACUCAUCUCUUCUUUAUCUUCUGCCGUGGUCGGGCAUUGAGCCGAGCUCAACUUCACACCUUGCAAUACAGGCAAGAACCCUUUCUUGGACUGAUCCAUUUUGAACUUCUUCAAUAUCUUAUCAAGGUAUGUGCUUUGUGAAAGACCUAUGAGGCGUCUCGAUCUACCCCUAUAGAUCUUGAUGCCUAAUAUGUAAGCAGCUUCUCCAAGGUCCUUCUUUGAAAAACACUUAUUCAAGUAGGCCUUAAUGCUGUCCAAAAGUUCUAUAUCAUUUCCCAUCAAAAGUAUGUCAUCUACAUAUAAUAUGAGAAAUGCUACAAAGCUCCCACUCACUUCCUUGUAAACGCAGGCUUCUCCAUAAGUCUGCAUAAACCCAAACGCUUUGAUCAUCUCAUCAAAGCGAAUGUUCCAACUCCGAGAUGCUUGCACCAGCCCAUAAAUGGAUCGCUGGAGCUUUCAUACCUUGUUAGCAUUCUUAGGAUCGACAAAACCCUCCGGCUGCAUCAUAUACAGUUCUUCCUUAAGAUGUCCGUUAAGGAAUGCCGUUUUGACGUCCAUCUUCCAUAUCUCAUAAUCAUAGUAUGCGGCAAUUGCUAACAUGAUUCGGACGGACUUCAGCUUCGCUACGGGAGAGAAAGUCUCAUCAUAGUCAACCCCUUGAACUUGUCGAUAACCCUUAGCGACAAGUCAAGCUUUAUAGAUGGUAACAUUACCAUCCGCGUCUGUCUUCUUCUUAAAGAUCCAUUUGUUUUCUAUCGCUCACCGAUCAUCGGGCAAGUCUGUCAAAGUCCAUACUUUGUUUUCAUCCAUGGAUUCUAUCUCCGAUUGCAUGGCUUCAAGCCAUUUGUUGGAAUCUGGGCCUGCCAUCGCUUCUUCAUAGUUCGAAGGUUCACCGUUGUCUAACAACAUGAUUUCCAGGACAGGGUUGCCAUACCACUUUGGUGUGGAACAUGUCCUUGUGGACCUAUGAAGUUCAGUAGCAACUUGAUCCGAAGUACUUUGAUCAUCAUCAUUAAUUUCCUCUCCAGUCGGUGUAGGCACCACAGCAACAUUUUCCUGAGCUGCACUACUUUCCGGUUCAAGAGGUAGUACUUCAUCGAGUUCUACUUUCCUCCCACUUACUCCUUUCGAGAGAAACUCUUUUUCCAGAAAGGAUCCGUUCUUGGCAACAAAGAUCUUGCCCUCGGAUCUUAAGUAGAAGGUAUACCCAAUGGUUUCCUUAGGGUAUCCUAUGAAGACGCAUUUUUCCGACUUGGGUUCGAGCUUUUCAGGUUGAAGUUUCUUGACAUAAGCAUCGCAUCCCCAAACUUUUAGAAACGACAGCUUAGGUUUCUUCCCAAACCAUAAUUCAUACGGUGUCGUCUCAACGGAUUAAGACGGAGCCCUGUUUAAAGUGAAUGUAGCUGUCUCUAGAGCGUAUCCCCAAAAUGAUAACAGUAAAUCGGUAAGAGACAUCAUAGAUCGCACCAUAUCCAAUAGAGUGCGAUUACGAUGUUCGGACACACCGUUACGCUGAGGUGUUCCAGGCGGCGUGAGUUGUGGAAUGAUUCCACAUUUCCUUAAGUGCGUACCAAAUUCGUGACUUAAAUAUUCUCCUCCACGAUCUGAUCGUAGGAACUUUAUCUUUCGGUCACGUUGAUUCUCUACCUCAUUCUGAAAUUCCUUAAACUUUUCAAAGGUCUCAGACUUGUGUUUCAUCAAGUAGACAUACCCAUAUCUACUCAAGUCAUCAGUGAGAGUGAAAACAUAAUGAUAUCCUCCGCGAGCCUCAACGCUCAUUGGACCACACACAUCAGUAUGUAUGAUUUCCAAUAAGUUGGUUGCUCGCUCCAUUGUUCUGGAGAACAGAGUCUUGGUCAUUUUGCCCAUGAGGCAUGGUUCGCAUGUGUCAAAUGAUUCAUAAUCGAGAGACUCUAAAAGUCCAUCAUCAUGGAGCUUCUUCAUGCGCUUGACACCAAUGUGACCAAGGUGGCAGUGCCACACGUAUGUGGGACUAUCGUUACCAACUUUACAUCUUUUGGUAUUCACACUAUGAAUAUGUGUAACAUUACGUUCGAGAUUCAUUAAGAAUAAACCAUUGACCAUCGGGGCAUGACCAUAAAAUAUAUCUCUCAUAUAAAUAGAACAACCAUUAUUCUCGGAUUUAAAUGAGUAGCCAUCUCGUAUUAAACGAGAUCCAGAUACAAUGUUCAUGCUCAAACUUGGCACUAAAUAACAAUUAUUGAGGUUUAAAACUAAUCACGUGGGUAAAUGUAGAGGCAGCGUGCCGACGGCGAUCACAUCGACCUUGGAACCAUUCCCGACGCGCAUCGUCACCUCGUCCUUCGCCAGUCUCCGCUUAUUCCACAGCUCCUACUAUGAGUUACAAAUAUGAGCAAUGGCACCGGUAUCAAAUACCCAGGAGUUACUAUGAGUACUGGUAAGGUACACAUCAAUUACAUGUAUAUCACAUAUACCUUUAGUGUUUUCGGCCUUCUUGUCCGCUAAGUAUUUGGGGCAGUUCCGCUUCCAGUGACCCUUCCCUUUGCAAUAAAAGCACUCAGUCUCAGGCUUGGGUCCAUUCUUUGACUUCUUCCCGGCAACUGGCCUACCGGGUGCGGCAACAUCCUUGUCGUCCUUCUUGAAGUUCUUCUUACCCUUCCCUUCUUGAACUUGGUGGUUUUAUUGACCAUCAACACUUGAUGUUCUUUCUUGAUUUCUACUUCUGUUGACUUUAGCAUUGAAAAUACUUCAGGAAUAGUUUUCACCAUCCCCUGCAUAUUGUAGUUCAUCACAAAGCUCUUGUAGCUUGGUGGGAGCGACUGAAGGAUUCUGUCAGUGACCGCCUUGUCCGGGAGGUUGAUGUCCAGCUGGGACAGGCAGUUGUGCAACCCAGACAUUUUGAGUAUGUGCUCACUGACAGAACUAUUUUCCUCCAUCUUACAACUAUAGAACAUGUCGGAGACUUCAUAUCUUUCGACCCGGGCAUGAGCUUGGAAAACCAGUUUCAGCUCCUUGAACAUCUCAUAUGCUCCGUGUUGGUCAAAAUGCUUUUGGAUCCUCGGUUCUAAGCUGUAAAGCAUGCCGCACUGAACGAGGGAGUAAUCAUCAGCACGUGACUGCCAAGCGUUCAUAAUGUCUUGGUUCUCUGGGAUGGGUGCAUCACCUAGUGGUCCUUCUAGGACAUAUGCUUUCUUAGCAGCUAUGAGGAUGAUCCUCAGGUUCUGGACCUAGUCCGUAUAGUUGCUUCCAUCAUCUUUCAGCUUGCUUUCUCUAGGAACGCGUUGAAGUUCAUGUUGACAUGAGCGUUGGCCAUUUGAUCUACAAGACAUUUUUGCAAAGAUUUUAGACUAAGUUCAUGAUAAUUAAGUUCAUCUAAUCAAAUUAUUUAAUGAACUCCCACUCAGAUUUGACAUCCCUCUAGUCAUCUAAGUGUUACACGAUCCGAGUCGACUAGGCCGUGUUCGAUCAUCACGUGAGACAGACUAGUCAUCAUCGGUGAACAUCUCGAUGUUGAUCGUAUCUUCCAUACGACUCAUGUUCGACCUUUCGGUCUCUGUGUUCCGAGGCCAUGUCUGUACAUGCUAGGCUCGUCAAGUUUAACCUAAGUGUUUUGCAUGUGUAAAACUGUCUUACACCCGUUGUAUGUGAACGUAGGAAUCUAUCACACCGGAUCAUCACGUGGUGCUUCGAAAUGACGAACUUUAGCAACGACGCACAGUUAGGGAGAACACUUUCUUGAAAUUAUUAUAAGGGAUCAUCUUAUUUACUACCGUCGUUCUAAGUAAACAAGAUGCAUAAACAUAAUAAACAUCACAUGCAAUUAUAUAGUAGUGACAUGAUAUGGCCAAUAUCAUAUAGCUCCUUUGAUCUCAAUCUUCGGGGCUCCAUGAUCAUCUUUGUCACCGGCAUGACACCAUGAUCUCCAUCAUCAUGAUCUCCAUCAUCGUGUCUCCAUGAAGUUGCUCGCCAACUAUUACUUCUACCACUAUGGCUAACGGUUUAGCAAUAAAGUAAAGUAAUUACAUGGCGUUAAAUCAUUGACACACAGGUCAUACAAUAAUUAAGACAACUCCUAUGGAUCCUGCCGGUUGUCAUAUUCAUCGACAUGCAAGUCGUGAUUCCUAUUACAAGAACAUGAUCUCAUACAUCACAAUAUAUCAUUCAUCAUUCAUCACAACUUUUGGCCAUAUCACAUCACAAGGCAAUUGCUGCAAAAACAAGUUAGACGUCCUCUAAUAGUUGUUGCAUCUUUUACGUCGCUGCAAUAGGGUUCUAGCAAGAACGUUUUCUUACCUACGAAAAAGCCACAACGUGAUUUGUCAACUUCUAUUUACCCUUCAUAAGGACCCUUUUCAUCGAAUCCGCUCCAACUAAAGUGGGAGAAACAGACACCCGCUAGCCACCUUAUGCAAGUAGUGCAUGUCAGUCGGUGAAACCUGUCUCAUGUAAGCGUACGUGUAAGGUCGGUCCGGGCCGCUUCAUCCCACAAUACCCUGAAGCAAAAUAAGACUAGUAGCGGUAAGAAAGUUGACAACAUCUACGCCCACAACAGAUUUGUGUUCUACUCGUGCAAUAGAGAACUACGCAUAGACCUAGCUCAUGAAGCCACUGUUGGGGAACGUUGCAUAAAAUAAAAAAUUUCCAACGUUCACCAAGAUCAAUCUAUGAGUUCAUCUAGCAACAAGAGAGGGAGUGCAUCUACAUACCCUUGUAGAUCGCGAGUGGAAGCGUACAAGAGAAUGGGGUUGAGGGAGUCAUACUCGUCGUGAUCCAAAUCACCGGAGAUUCUAGCGCCGAACGGACGGCACCUCCGCGUUCAACACACGUAUGGUCAGCGUGACGUCUCCUCCUUCUUUAUCCAGCAAGGGGAAAGGAGAGGUUGAUGAAGAUCCGGCAACACGACGGCGUGGUGGUGGAUGCAGCAGAGUUCCGGCAGGGCUUCGCCUAGUGACUACGGGAGGAGGAGGUGUAGAAAGGGGGGAGGGAGGCGCCAAGACUUCAGGGUGCGGCUGCCCUCCCCUCCCCCUCCUUUAUAUAGGCCCCUUGGGGGGGAGCCGGCCCUGGAGAUGGGAUAUCCAAAGGGGGCGGCGGCCAGGGGGGUGGAGUGCCCCCCAAGGCAAGUGGAGGCGCCCCCCCACCCUAGGGUUUCCAACCAUAGGCGCAGAGGGGGGCCAAGGGGGCACACCAGCCCACCAGGGGCUGGUCCCCUCCCCACUUCAGUCCACGGGGCCCUCCAGGAUAGGUGGCCCCACCCGGUGGACCCCCGGGACCCUUCCGGUGGUCCCGAUACAAUACCGGUGACCCCCGAAACUCUCCCGAUGGCCGAAACUGGACUUCCUAUAUAUAAUUUUAUCUUUGGACCAUUCCGGAACUCCUCGUGACGUCCGGGAUCUCAUCCGGGACUCCGAAAAACUUUCGGUUUGCUGCAUACUCAUAUCUCUACAACCCUAGUGUCACCGAACCUUAAGUGUGUAGACCCUACGGGUUCGGGAGACACGUAGACAUGACCGAGACGGCUCUUCGGUCAAUAACCAACAUCGGGAUCUGGAUACCCAUGUUGGCUCCCACAUGCUCCUCGAUGAUCUCAUCGGAUGAACCAUGAUGUCGAGGAUUCAAGCAACCCCGUAUUCAAUUCCCUUUGUCAAUCGAUAUUUUACUUGCCCGAGAUUCGAUCGUCGGUAUCCCAAUACCUCAUUCAAUCUCGUUACCGGCAAGUCACUUUAAUCGUACCAUAAUGCAUGAUCCCGUGACCAGACACUUGGUCACUUUGAGCUCAUUAUGAUGAUGCACUACCGAGUGGGCCCAGAGAUACCUCUCUGUCAUACGGAGUGACAAAUCCCAGUCUCGAUCCGUGUCAACCCAACAGACACUUUCGGAGAUACCUAUAGUGCACCUUUAUAGUCACCCAGUUACGUUAUGACCUUUGGUACACCCAAAGCUAUCAGGACCCCGACUCAAUGCCACAUCGAUCUAGCAUGUAACACCUCAUAUCACUUUGCGGCCUCACGCACGGUAUUCCCACGGGUGUCGUCUUACCUUUGCCCGGGACCGUUUGCACCUUUUGGCACACGUAUAUGAUAGUGUUGCUGGCAUCCAUAUGGUAAGGAGCCCGGGCUGACAUGGCUAGUCGUAAACCCAAAGUGGCACAGACUUACAGGGACAGGCAUCCAUGACCCAGCAUCGAACGUGUCGGUCAUCAGCAAGUGAAUCCGGGCUUUAGCACCGGGCUAGCAGGACUCCGGUAAACCGUGCUGCAGCGGGCUAACAGGACUCCGGUAUUCAUCGCAUGACAUUUCGCCGAAGGGACAGACACAGGAACGAAGAAGGCACAUGCCGGCCAGCCUAAGUGUUCCGGAGCAGUAGCAAGCUACCAUGGCUCAGUGGAAGCACUAGGAGACAUUUCCCGGUAAGAGAGGCUACUAAGGAUAAACAACUAGAUAGUCAGAUCCCACACAUACCAAGCAUUUCAAUCAUACACACAAUAUGCUCGAUAUGUGCAAAUACAACAAGGCAUCACAACAUGACUCUACAACACAAGUACUUUAUUUAAAGGCUCAGAGAGCCAUACAUAGUAUACACACAAGUACGGGUCACAUGACCCACAUUCAAGUAAUACAAGCAUACAAGCCAACAGCGGAAGUAACUUGUCUGAGUAGAGACAACUAGUAAAAUAAAAGAGGCCUGGGUAAGCCUAGCUAUACUACAUGGUCCUUCACAAGCUCAGGAUCACCACCUGGGCCUCAGUCUACUCAUCGAUGUCAACGUCUACGAAGAACCUGUCAGAAGGGGUUGUAGCAUCUUCUGUAAAAUGUAAAUUAGAGCAACAUGAGUACAAAGGUACUCAGCAAGACUUACAUCAGAUCCUACAUACAUGCACAUUAUCAAGAAGGGUUGGUGGGGUUAUUGCAGCAAGCCAGCUUCGACUCUUGGCUAAGCUAUCCUAUGAGACUCCAACUUGAAAUGGUUUUGCACACACGAGUCCACUACUCACCACUUCAAUACACAACCGAGGAUUCACCUCCGUCUUCCUACGGAAGAGCCAUCCUCGGCACUCACAAUUAUCUUGAGGCUUUUAGUAGUUUCCAUUUACUUGUCUAUGAACUGUUAUAGGCAACACAGAAGUCCUUUACCGCGGACACGGCUAUUCGAAUAGAUCAUUUAUAACCCUGCAGGGGUGUACUUCUUCAUACAUGUUUCCACCACUUAGCAUCUGCACACGACAUGUGCUCGGCAGACUUCAAGCGAAAGCGAAAGCCUAAACACUCAAGUCUCUAGUCCAGGUUUAUCGCCUAUUCAGGUUCCAUCCGCAGGGAGUCCGUCCGAGGUUUCCACAUACGGCCCCGAACGAUGUGUAUAGGGUUCCGUGACACCAAACAGGCGCCCGGUAUACCCGGCCACGUGCCUACCGCAUCACAGCCCACCCCUUCGAUCAGCGUUGCGCACGACCUCCAGCAUACUACAAACACCAGAAACUACUUGCAACUCCUGGACAGAGGACAAGGGUGAUUAAGAAGUCGAGCAGGGUCAUAUUUCAGGGCCCAAUGCAUGGUAGUAGCUGAACCAUGGAUCACAAACACAGAACUCAGUUCCUGAGGACGGCUUCAAUGAGACAAUCCACCAUGUACUCCUACAUGGCCUCUCAUAGCUACCUUUACCAAAUCCUGUUCACACACUUAGCUCACACUCAGUAGAAUAUGUUCACGCACCUCUGAUUCAUCCCCGAUGAAUCAGACCUGACUCAACUCUAAGCAAUAGCAGGCAUGACAAACAAACAUGAAUGAGUAGGCACAACAGGGCUCAAACAACUCCUACUCAUGCUAGUGGGUUUCAUCUAUUUACUGUGGCAAUGAUAGGUCCUGCAGAGGAUAAAGGGGUUCAGCUACCGCAGCAAGUAACAGAUGAAUCAUUGCUGUCCUAAUGCAGUAAAAGAGAGCAGGAGCGAGAGAGUAGGAUUGUAUCGAAAUGAACAAGGGGGUUUUGCUUGCCUGGCACUUCUGAAGAUAGUAUACUUCUUCAUCGGUGUCAGCGAUCACAACGUCGGUACAACGUCUACCGAGGGGGAACAACACUGGCAAACAGAGAAGAAACACGAUCAAUGCAAUGCACAAUAUGAUGCCUGCUAUGACAUGGCAAUAUGAAUGUGUUUUGGGCUAAUGCAAGCUAGAACAGAUUGAGAUGAGUCCAUUUGAACCAAAGAUUCAAAUGCAAACCCAUUUUAAGAGGUCAUAAUAGUGUAUUAACUUGUUUCACCUAAACAGCAAGGUUAAUGUGUUCUAACAUGCAUGAAACCAGUGCAGAUGGAUAGAUUGGAUUUUUUUGAUCAUUUUUCAUAUAUAAAUUAUUUCAUUCUAAGUUACGGUUAAAUUUCUAUGAAUUUUAGAAGUUUAGAGCAUUUUCUGGAAUUUCCUGUAUAAAAAUAAAUCUAGAAAAUACUUAUUGCGUCAGCAUUGCGUCACUCUGACGUCAGCAGUCAACGAGGCCGGUCCAGGUCAAACCUGACGUGUGGGGUCCACACAUCAGUGACACGGUUAACCAACAGGGUUAAUUAAAAUUAAACUAAACCUAAUCUAGUUUAGUUAAGGCCUGGGCCCACAUGUCAGAGGCUAACCUAACUAACUAAGUUAAUUACCGCUCAUUAAUCUAUCGCUUAAUUAAGCAGGGGCCUGGCCCACACGUCAAUGAGUCAGGGGGAAGUCAAACCCCGGUCAAACCCGCCGGACCUGGUCCACGGCUCGUCGCCGGCGACGACAGAGACAACGAGGCGGCUCGGGAAUGCUCUACAGGGCACCGUUUUACUCGUGGUUUGCGGCUACGGCUAGCUAGCAAUGCGGCGCAUCUAAUGGAGCGAAUGGGUGGAGCUGGGGUGGCCUGAGCCGACGGCGGCGAGCUCCAAGGCGGCGGCCGGAGUUCGGGCAAUGACGGGUUUGGCGCCACAGUGCAUGGGAGGAGGAGCUGGUGGGCGCUACGGGCUCUUGGGGGUGCACUGGGUGUAGUGACGCGCUCGGUUUGGACGGAGGUGAACUAAAAUGACGACAGCGACAAGUCUGGCACCAGUGAGGUUUCGGUCUCGACGGAAACGAGGGCUACGAUGAGCUAAUGGACAUGUGAGUAGGGGGGUCAGUAAAGGAGCUUACGGCGAGUGCAGAGGUGGCCUCGGCGUGCUCGGGGAAGCACUGGAGCGAGCGGUGCGGCGAGAGGGAUCUCCGGCGGCCGGUGACGAAGAUGAUCAAGAUGGCGUCAAUCCAGGGCCUCCGGCGAUGCGUGGCUAGACGGAGAGGACGAGGGAGGCGUGGCGAUGCUCGUGGACACGUCGGAGAGGCUCGGGGUUGGCUGCGGCUGCGGCUAUGGCGAACGGCGGCGGCGGUGGCGUUCGGUGGUGAGAGGGAGAGAGAGUAGAGGAGGGGGAGGAGCAUGGGGAGAGUGAGAGAGAGCCACAGGGGUUGCGUGUCGACGUCCAUGGCAUCCAGAGGGACGUCGGGAGGCGGUGGAAAGCUGGAGGUGGCCGAGGGGCGUGGGCGUGAAUGGCGGCCACACGCCUCUCAUCCUACUGGCGAGAGGUGGGAGAUGACUGGCAGAUGGGCCUGGUGGGCUGCUACAGUGCCAGGCCGGCCAGGUAAGCGCCAGGUAUUCUCUCUCUCUCUCUCUUUUGUUAAUGUUUUUCUAUUUUUCUGUAACUUCAGGGCUUUAUUAAAAAUGCCAGGGCAUUUCCAAAAAUCAUGAAACUAAUCAUGGCUACUGUUUAGAAUAUAUCCAACAGUAAACAUUUUAGUUUAUGAUUAUUUGAGCAUUUAAAAUAUUUUAUAGCACUUAAAUGCCCAAAUGCAAAUACUAUAGGAUUUAAUUUAGAAAUCCAGAAUGGCCUAGAAAUAUGUGCAUGACAUUUGGCAGAGGUUUUCACCUUUGACCGAAAUCAUGAACUUUUCUAAAGGGCAUUUGGGAUCACUAAAAAUAUUAUUUUUUUGAACCUAGUUGAAUUCAUUUGGUGCUAGGGUUUCAACAAUCCCCAUUUCAAGUUUCAUGAAAUUUAAACAUGAUGCAUGGAUGCAAAGUCACUAGUUACGAGCAAACUCUAGGGCUGUGAUAACUCACCCCCACUAAACAAGAAUCUCGUCUUGAGAUUCAAGACGUGAGGUAAGAAGACAAAGGGGGCACAAAACCAACACAAUCUUCAUGAUCCAGGUUGCACCUCAUAAGGUUGUUGAUUCGUUGCAUACAUUGAUCUUGACAUCCUCGCUUUUGAGAUCUUCAUCCAUGCGAUGACGACGGAAAGGAACUCUACUAGGAUUGAUCUUCUCAAAGACCGAAUUAUACAAUCUCAACUCGCGGAGUGAGAUGUUGAAACACCUUGAGUUGAGACACAAAACACAUCGAGAGGGAUGGAAGAACAAACGACGGGGUUUGAUUUGGUGGGAAACAAUUCCACGCUUAGAAAGAUGGUGGAUGGUGUCAAGGUGGCGAGGAAAUAAUUGCCAUGAUCCCGUAACGGGGCACCUUAGGGAAGGUGACUCGUAGGUUUGUUACCUUAAGUGGCAAAAGGAAUUAUUUUUGAUUCAGAGAUCAUUGAAACUCUUUAUACCAGCCUAAGGCAAUUCACAACAAUCGUUUGGCAGAGUACAAAGGGAUGGCAUACCCGGACUAGAAUGGAUGAUGUGGACUACCUUGUUGAAGACAACGUAAUGAAUGCUUUUUGCUUAUCAUCGGAGGUGGAGGGGACCCAUGGUAGGACCACUUCUAAAGAUGAUCCUGAACAACAAUUGCUGAGAAGGGCAGUCCAAGGAGGAUUGGCACAAGGCGGUGCAAGCUGGGAACGAAAUGCAAAUGUCGGGAAUGUUCCAACCAUCAUAUCUGCCUGAGAUUCAGAUUUGGUUGGUGUUAGGACAUUCCAGACUCAUCAAGUCUAGGAAGAAAAAUGAAAGUUUGCAACACAAAUCGAUGAGAUGACGUCGCGAGAUUCUCGGGAGAUAAACUACGAUAGCAAGCUCCAAAACAUGAGCUGGUUCUGCUAAACAUGUGUGAACACGCUGUCCCAGACAAACAUGACCACAUAGUAGUCUUAAUAUAAAACACUACCGAGUUCAGGUGGGGAACCAUCAUUGCGGAUAACGAAGUCCUUGCAUAAGUCAUGAUUCUUAAGAAGGAGCUUCUUCUCCCUGAACAAAUCAAUCAGUGGCUUGGUGUGCUAGGGAUACGUAAGCAAUGAAGAUGAUCAGUCUAUCAGACCAUAGAAUACUUCGCACAUGCAUGACUGACUUGGGAUGAUCCCGGAGGGAACAAAACUAACUUUCUCAAAUUCACGGCGGCAACUUGCACCUAAUGCGCGUGAACUUGGAGAGAGUCACUUCUUACAUCCAAGCAUAUUCUUCAUGAACGAAACACGAAGAUAAUGCUUAUAUAGUUUCCAAUACUAGCUGAAGGUUCAACACGAAUCAUGGAAGAGAUAAAAAUGUUGCUGAUGGGCUCAACAACAAUUCAUCUAGGUUUCCAUAUAAGUGGAAUUCCACAAUUAUGUGAACAAGGCGAUAGCAUCGGUCAGACCAAAGGAUAUAACGGUGUAUGCCCGAGGAAACAACCACGGGUAAGACAACAUUACGAAUAUCGUUGGUUCUGAUUUGACUUGACAAUAGCCCAUGCUCAAAUCAGAGAUUGGUUACGAUAAUAGAUCCAACAACUGAUCACAGGGACCAAUCGAUGAAGAUAUCAUCUUUCUUCAACAUACAUACAAGAUAUCACUUAACAUGAACUAAGUCGGACAAGCUUUUAUCUUCCAACUCUCCAAGUUGAUGUAUAGCUUAACCAACUAGCUCAGGGGUAUCCAACACGGAUUCUUGGAGAAAGGGUGGUUUACAAGAAUAAACCAACUUGAUCAUGAACUCAACAUAGCGGUCAGGUGACGACCUAGUGAUACUUCCGAGAAGAUAAUCAGAAAAUCAGGAACCACCGGUAUGUUACUAAGCUCGAGAGAAAUCUUGCUUUUCAGGGCAAGACGAUAUGAUCAAAUGAGCAAGGGAUUGACAAAAUCCUAACUCAACGACCGAAGAGUGCACCGGAAAUAGGGACUAGAUAGCACAAUCAACCUUAGGGUGACGAUUCAAUAAUCAACACGCUAAGAAUGAGGUUAGCGUCCAUUUAACUACCAAGCAACGGAGUUGCUAGCAGUAUUGAUUUCACACACCAUGAUUCACUUGUCAGUAUUCCGGUUGCAACAACACGGAACCGAGGAGCGAAUGAUGAUGGCAAGAAGUAUCACUACUUCAAGAAUCCAUAAGGGAAGGUGCAAUUCUCAUGACGUUCCUGACAUAAAGUGGGUAAUACUUCAGGGUAGAACAGAACAAAAGCUGAAUUAGUAUUUGAUCUGCGAUUUACAACUGCUUUGACCCGAUCCUGGAUAUGGAUGAGGUACGGGAGUUUGUUUCUCCUAGUCAUUCUAGAAUAGAAUGGCUUGACAUACCACUAGAGUAAUAGGCAUCAAUGAACGAAUGCACGCAUACUCUUGACUAUCAAUUGAUAGAUGGGGUCGGAAUACAACUAAGGAGGGACAACCCAAACGAACUUACGAUCUUCUGAGUUGUGGAUGCACAUAUUAGUAUGUCGAGCAAAGAUCAACAUUUUUCUUCCGGAUAACCCAUGCGGAGAAGGUAGGACUGGCAGAUUCACAAUAUAGAAUCGAGAACGCAUCAAGAGCACUCUGGUUGUGAUCUUUCGGUUAAACGAGGAACUUCUGCCAUAAGUAGUUCAUGGUAUUUGGAAGAAGGAAAUACCACGGACCUCGAGGACUAAUGCAAAGGUUACUAAUUUCCUAAAGGAACUAGCAAACACUAUCAUCAUGAGUAAGUGGGGUGAAUCUCGGUUCAAGAACCCAGGAAUAGAAUACCUACUACUAAGUGGCAUCACGGGAUGCUUUCGAGAAUAAAGGCCAGAAUUAUCACACCGGGAACAAAUCAUGGCUAGAUUACUAGAUGAUCCCCUAGGACACCUAGGGUCAUAAUAAUAAUUCCAACAUAUAUGUCGAGGCAAUAGAAUACUUCAACUCAGCAAUUAGUGUGAUUAACCUGGCUCAAAGGAACAUCAAAACCAGAGGGAAAUGAUUUGCAAGUGCAUCAGAUUGUUUAGAAACCUGGGAUGACUCGGACAACAUAACGGCUGUAAAUGCUCAAAAGGAAUUUUGAGACAUUUUGCAAAGAGUUGCAUAGACACUCAACAAUAUCAUAUCAAGGUUCUGGGUCCAACUUAGCAACAUAAUAGGGUAGUAGAACUGAACUAGGCUUAUAAUCAUCAAACCAAUAAGGUACUACUGAUUAGUAACACGUGAACCUGAUAGAGAGAAAAGAUCCUAAUCCUUAACCCCCGGUGGAAGAAUGGACUGACUCAGAUCAGAAUGCCAUGAGGUAAAGAAGUAAAAAGAGCCUUACGUACCAUCCCACAAUCAAUUCCCCUACAUAUAACUAAAGCAUUUCUAGACUCAACAUCGACCAGUUUGGCUUGGUAAUCCUACAGGCAGUCAGGCUCUUAUACCAAAGCUGUCAGGUCCUGAACGAUGUGUACAGGGUUCCGUGACACCAAACGGGCGCCCGGUAUACCCGGCCACGUGCCUACCGCAUCACAGCCCACCCCUCCGGUCAGCGUUGCGCACGGCCUCCAGCAUACUACAAACACCAGAAACUACUUGCAACUCCUGGACAGAGGACAAGGGUGAUUAAGAAGUCGAGCGGGGUCAUAUUUCAGGGCCCAAUGCAUGGUAGUAGCUGAAUCAUGGAUCACAAACACAUAACUCAGUUCCUGAGGGCGGCUUCAAUGAGACAACCCACCAUGUACUCCUACAUGGACUCUCACCGCUACCUUUACCAAAUCGUGUUCACACACUUAGCUCACACUCAGUAGAAUAUGUUCACGCACCUCUGAUUCAUCCCCGGUGAAUCCGACUUAACUCAACUCUAAGCAAUAGCAGGCAUGACAAACAAACAUGAAUGAGUAGGCACAACAGGGCUCAAACAACUCCUACUCAUGCUAGUGGGUUUCAUCAAUUUACUAUGGCAAUGACAGGUCAUGCAGAGGAUAAAGGGGUUCAGCUACCGCAGCAAGUAAUAGAUGAAUCGUUGUUGUCCUAAUGCAGUGAAAGAGAACAGGAGCGAUAGAGUAGCAUUGUAUCGGAAUGAACAAGGGGGUUUUGCUUGCCUAGCACUUCUGAAGAUAGUAUACUUCUUCAUCGGUGUCAUCGAUCACAACAUCGGUACAACGUCUACCGAGGGGGAACAACACCGGCAAACAGAGAAGCAACAUGAUCAAUGCAAUGCACAAUAUGAUGCAUGCUAUGACAUGGCAAUAUGAAUGUGUUUUGGGCUAAUGCAAGCUAGAACAGAUUGAGAUGAGUCCAUUUGAACCAAAGAUUCAAAUGCAAACCCAUUUUAAGAGGUCAUAAUAGUGUAUUAACUUGUUUCACCUAAACAGCAAGGUUAAUGUGUUCUAACAUGCAUGAAACCAGUGCAGAUGGAUAGAUUGGAUUUGUUUGAUCAUUUUUCAUAUAUAAAUUAUUUCAUUCUGAGUUACGGUUAAAUUUCUAUGAAUUUUAGAAGUUUAGAGCAUUUUCUGGAAUUUCCUGUAUAAAAAUAAAUCCAGAAAAUACUUAUUGCGUCAGCAUUGCAUCGCUCUGACGUCAACAGUGAACGAGGCCAGUCCAGGUCAAACCUGACGUGUGGGGUCCACACGUCAGUGACACGGUUAACCAACAGGGUUAAUUAAAAUUAAACUAAACCUAAUCUAGUUUAGUUAAGGCCUGGGCCAACAUGUCAGAGGCUAACCUAACUAAGUUAAUUACAGCUAAUUAAUCUAUCGCUUAAUUAAGCAGGGGCCUGGCCCACACGUCAGUGAGUCAGGGGGAAGUCAAACCCCGGUCAAACGGGGUCAAACCCGCCGGACCUGGUCCACGGCUCAUCGCCGGCGACGACAGAGACGAUGGGGCGGCUCGUGAAUGCUCUACAGGGCACCGUUUUACUCAUGGUUUGUGGCUACGGCUAGCUAGCAAUGCGGCGCAUCUAAUUGAGCGAACGGGAGGAGCUAGGGUGUCCUGAGCCGACGGCGGCGAGCUCCAAGGCGGCGGCCGGAGUUCGGGCAACGACGGGUUCGGUGCCAUAGUGCAUGGGAGGAGGAGCCGGUGGGCGCUACGGGCUCCUGGGGGUGCACUGGGUGUAGUGACGCGCUCGGUUUGGACGGAGGCGAACUAAAAUGACGACGGCAACAAGUCCGGCGCCGGUGAGGUUUCGGUCUCGACGGAAACGAGGGCUACGAUGAGCUAAUGGACAUGUGAGUAGGGGGGUUAGUAGAGGAGCUUACGACGAGUGCAUAGGUGGCCUAGGCGUGCUCGGGGAAGCACCGGAGCGAGCGGUGCAGCGAGAGGGAUCUCCGGCAGCCGGCGACGAAGAUGAUGAAGAUGGCGUCGAUCCAGGGCCUCCGGCGAUGCGUUGCUGUGCGGAGAGGACUAGGGAGGCGUGGCGAUGCUCGUGGACACGUCGGAGAGGCUCGGAGUUGGCUGCGGCUGCGGCUAUGGCGAACGGCGGCGGCGGUGGCGUUCGGUGGUGAGAGGGAGAGAGAGUAGAGGAGGGGGAGGAGCAUGGGGAGAGUGAGAGAGAGCCACAGGGGUUGCGUGUCGACGUCCAGGGCAUCCAGAGCGACGUCGGGAGGCGGUGGAAAGCUGGAGGUGGCCGAGGCGCGUGGGCGUGAAUGGCGGCCACACGCCUCUCGUCCUACUGGCGAGAGGUGGGAGAUGACUGGCAGAUGGGCCUGGUGGGCUGCUACAGUGCCAGGCCGGCCAGGUAAGCGCCAGAUAUUCUCUCUCUCUCUUUUGUUAAUGUUUUUUUAUUUUUCUGUAACUUCAGGGCUUUAUUAAGAAUGCCAGGGCAUUUCCAAAAAUCAUGAAACUAAUCAUGGCUACUGUUUAGAAUAUAUCCAACAGUAAACAUUUUAGUUUAUGAUUAUUUGAGCAUUUAAAAUAUUUUAUAGCACUUAAAUGCCCAAAUGCAAAUACUAUAGGAUUUAAUUUAGAAAUCCAGAAUGGCCUAGAAAUAUGUGCAUGACAUUUGGCAGAGGUUUUCACCGUUGACAGAAAUCAUGAAAUUUUCUAAAGGGCAUUUGGGAUCACUGAAAAUAUAUAUUUUUUGAACCUAGUUGAAUUCAUUUGGUGCUAGGGUUUCAACAAUCCCCAUUUCAAGUUUCAUGAAAUUUAAACAUGAUGCAUGGAUGCAAAGCCACUAGUUACAAGCAAACUCUGGGGCUAUGACAAAAGCACUCCUACGGUAUCGGUAUCCGGGAGUUACACGAUCUCAUGGUCUAAGGAGAAGAUACUUGACACUGGAAAAGCUCUAGCAAACGAACUACACGAUCUUGUGCUAUGCUUAGGAUUGGGUCUUGUCCAUCACAUCAUUUUCCUAAUGAUGUGAUCCCGUUAUCAACGACAUCUAAUGUCCAUAGUCAGGAAACCAUGACUAUCUGUUGAUCAACGAGCUAGUCAACUAGAGGCUCACUAGGGACAUAUUAUGGUCUAUGUAUUCACACGUGUAUUACGAUUUCCGGAUAAUACAAUUAUAGCAUGAAUAAAGACAAUUAUCAUGAACAAGGAAAUAUAAUAAUAAUCCUUUUAUUAUUGCCUCUAGGGCAUAUUUCCAACAACAUAUUCUACGAAGAUCUUUAUCGGUCAAACCACAUAACAACAUAGGUUCUUCCCUUUGUCAUCGGUAUGUUACUUGCCUGAGAUUCGAUCGUCGGUAUCUCAAUACCUAGUUCAAUCUCGUUACCGGCAAGUAUGUUUACUCAUUCCAUAAUGCAUGAUCCCGCAACUAACUCAUUAGUCACAUUGCUUGCAAGGCUUAUAGUGAUGUGCAUUACCGAGAGGGCCCAGUGAUACCUCUCCGACAAUCGGAGUGACAAAUCCUAACCUCGAUCUAUGCCAACUCAACAAGUACCAUCGGAGACACCUGUAGAGCACCUUUAUAAUCCCCCAGUUACGUUGUGACGUUUGGUAGCACACAAAGUGUUCCUCUGGUAUUUGGGAGUUGCAUAAUCUCAUAGUCAUAGGAACACGUAUAAGUCAUGAAGAAAGCAAUAGCAACAAACUAAACGAUCAAGUGCUAAGCUAACGAAAUGGGUCAAGUCAAUCACAUCAUUCUCUAAUGAUGUGAUCCCGUUAAUCAAAUGACAACUGUCUAUGGUUAGGAAACACAACCAUCUUUGAUUCAACGAGCUAGUCAAGUAGAGGCAUACUAGUGACACUUUGUUUGUCUAUGUAUUCACACAUGUACUAAGUUUCCGGUUAGUACUAUUCUAGCAUGAAUAAUAAACAUUUAUCAUGAUAUAUGGAAAUAUAAAUAACAACUUUAUUAUUGCCUCUAGGGCAUAUUUCCUUCAAAAUUUAGAGAUGACAAACAAAGCUUAAGUAGCAUCUGUUCUACUUGAUUGUAGAAAUUUCUUUUACCUGUAGAAUAACUCGGUUGUUAUUUCUUUAAACAUGAAGUGUGAUAUUAACUUAUCUCAAUCUAGGAACACAAAGCAAAUAUUACAUGUGCUUCUAUGGACUCCAAGCAGAUGAGAAAUCAUUUUGUCUAGAAGUUCCUUAGAAGGAUAUAAUAGUUUUGACCUAAACAAAUUUACUAUUGUACUCGUGUCUUACAAAGUUAAAGCUGAAAAUCAACAUAACCAUUGGACCCUUUGAAAGACAAGUGUAGGAAAUAAAUAGUAGGAUAUAAAUUUGAGCAGAAUGUUUGAUCAAAUACUGAACAAAUAACCCAGCAAACUACUAAAACUCGUCUAUUCUACCUUAUAUGAACUGUCACGAUGAUAAAGCUAUGAUUUUUUUUGGCAAAUAAGUAUCCUAGAACUAAUACAAGUUCAAACAAAUCAGCCACAGAUCCCCGAGCCCAUCCAACCAGAUAGCUGAAACUGAAAGAAGCAUUAGCUCGAUUAGAGCACCUACAGCGGAACUUGACAAAUUUGACCCCUGAAACGCCCGCGGACACGCGUGUUAGUAGACAUAAACCAAUCUUUAAGCAGAGCACGUCCGGCAGUCGGAUGCUCCCCAAAGUGUUGGUCCAGUCGCCGGCAAGGUAGAGUAGGGCAUGGGAUACAAGGCGGCUCACGGGACUCGAGGCGCCACCGUCCCCCAUUCCCAACUCUUCUCAGUCGGAACCCGGACAGUGCCGGUGGACGUCAGAUCGAUGAUGGAUCCUUCCUGGGACGAGCCAGCAACAUCCACCACCACGUGGUUGUGCAGCCCGAACUAGUGCACAAUAUGGGGAGCCGGAAAAUACGACUCCGCCUCCGCAACGCCCACCACCGCGAGGGCUGUCGCUGCCUCCCGCACCCGCUGCAUUGCAUGGCAGGAGCGCCGAACUAUGUUUUGCAUCGGGCGACGCCCAUGGUGCGUCCAUGGCCUCAGUGCGCCAAUGGAGGGGCUGCGCGUCCGCCACCCAUUCAAACGCCAGAUGGACCGCACCACCUUUGUGUUGGAAAUAUGCCCUAGAGGAAAUAAUAAAAGGAUUAUUAUUGUAUUUCCUUGUUCAUGAUAAUUAUCUUUAUUCAUGCUAUAAUUGUAUUAUCCAGAAAUCGUAAUAGACGUGUGAAUACAUAGACCAUAAUAUGUCCCUAGUGAGCCUCUAGUUGACUAGCUCGUUGAUCAACAGAUAGUCAUGGUUUCCUGACUAUGGACAUUAGAUGUCGUUGAUAAUGGGAUCACAUCAUUAAGAUAAUGAUGUGAUGGACAAGACCCAAUCCUAAGCAUAGCACAAGAUCGUGUAGUUCGUUUGCUAGAGCUUUUCCAAUGUCAAGUAUCUUCUCCUUAGACCAUGAGAUCGUGUAACUCCCGGAUACCGUAGGAGUCCUUUGGGUGUACCAAACGUCACAACGUAACUGGGUGACUAUAAAGGUGCACUACAGGUAUCUCCGAAAGUGUUUGUUGGGUUGACACCGAUCGAGACUGGGAUUUGUCACUCCGUAUGACGGAGAGGUAUCGCUGGGCCCACUCGGUAGUGCAUCAUCAUAAUGAGCUCAAAGUGACCAAGUGUCUGGUCACGGGAUCAUGCAUUACGGUACGAGUAAAGUGAAUUGCCGGUAACGAGAUUGAACGAGGUAUUGGGAUACCGACGAUCGAAUCUCGGGCAAUUAAAAUACCGAUUGACAAAGGGAAUUGAAUACGUGGUUGCUUGAAUCCUCGACAUCGUGGUUCAUCCGAUGAGAUCAUCGAGGAGCAUGUGGGAGCCAACAUGGGUAUCCAGAUCCCGCCGUUGGUUAUUGACUGGAGAGCCGUCUCAGUCAUGUCUACGUGUCUCCCGAAUCCGUAGGGUCUACACACUUAAGGUUCGGUGACGCUAGGGUUGUAGAGAUAUGAGUAUGCAGCAAACCGAAAGUUGUUCGGAGUCCCGGAUGAGAUCCCGGACAUCACGAGGAGUUCCGAAUGGUCCGGAGAUAAAGAAUUAUAUAUAGGAAGUGCAUUUUCAGCGAUCGGGAGAGUUUCGGGGGUCACCGGUAUUGUACCGGGACCACCGGAAGGGUCCCGGGGGUCCACUGGGUGGGGCCACCUAUCCCGGAGGGCCCCGUGGGCUGAAGUGGGGAGGGGACCAGCCCAUAGUGGGCUGGUGCGACCCCCUUGCCCCACCUACGCCUAGGGUUGGAAACCCUAGGGUGGGGGGCGCCUCCACUUGCCUUGGGGGGCACUCCACCCCCCUGGCCGCCGCCCCCUUGGGAGAUCCCAUCUCCAGGGCCGGCGCCCCCCCAGGGGGCCUAUAUAAAGGAGGGGGAGGGGAGGGCAGCCGCACCCUGAAGUCUUGGCGCCUCCCUCCCCCCUUGCUACACCUCCUCCUCCCGUAGUCGCUUGGCGAAGCCCUGCCGGAACUCUGCUGUAUCCACCACCACGCCGUCGUGCUGCUGGAUCUUCAUCAACCUCUCCUUCCCCCUUGCUGGAUCAAGAAGGAGGAGACGUCACGCUGACCGUACGUGCGUUGAACGCGGAGGUGCCGUCCGUUCGACGCUAGGAUCUCUGGUGAUUUGGAUCACGACGAGUACGACUCCCUCAACCCCGUUCUCUUGAACGCUUCCGCUCGCGAUCUACAAGGGUAUGUAGAUGCACUCCCCUCUCUCGUUGCUAGAUGAACUCAUAGAUUGAUCUUGGUGAACGUAGGAAAUUUUUUAUUUUAUGCAACGUUCCCCAACAGUGGCAUCAUGAGCUAGGUCUAUGCGUAGUUCUCUAUUGCACGAGUAGAACACAAAUCUGUUGUGGGCGUAGAUGUUGUCAACUUUCUUGCCACUACUAGUCUUAUUUUGCUUCAGCGGUAUUGUGGGAUGAAGUGGCCCGGACCGACCUUACACGUACGCUUACGUGACACAGGUUCCACCGACUGACAUGCACUAGUUGCAUAAGGUGGCUAGCGGGUGUCUGUCUCUCCCACUUUAGUUGGAGCGGAUUCGAUGAAAAGGGUCCUUAUGAAGGGUAAAUAGAAGUUGACAACUCACGUUGUGGCUUUUUUGUUGGUAAGAAAACAUUCUUGCUAGAACCCUAUUGCAGCCACGUAAAAGAUGCAACAACAAUUAGAGGACGUCUAACUUGUUUUUGAAGCAAUUGCCUUGUGAUGUGAUAUGGCCAAAAGUUGUGAUGAAUGAUGAAUGAUAUAUUGUGAUGUAUGAGAUCAUGUUCUUGUAAUAGGAAUCACGACUUGCAUGUCGAUGAGUAUGAAAACCGGCAGGAGCCAUAGGAGUGGUCUUAAUUAUUGUAUGACCUGCGUGUCAAUGAUUUAACGCCAUGUAAUUACUUUACUUUAUUGCUAAACCGUUAGCCAUAGUAGUAGAAGUAAUAGUUGGCGAGCAACUUCAUGGAGGCACGAUGAUGGAGAUCAUGAUGAUGGAGAUCAUGGUGUCAUGCCGGUGACAAAGAUGAUCAUGGAGCCCCGAAGAUGGAGAUCAAAGGAGCUAUAUGAUAUUGGCCAUAUCAUGUCACUACUAUAUAAUUGCAUGUGAUGUUUAUUAUGUUUAUGCAUCUUCUUUACUUAGAACGACUGUAGUAAAUAAGAUGAUCCCUUAUAAUAAUUUCAAGAAAGUGUUCUCCCUAACUGUGCGUCGUUGCUAAAGUUCGUCGUUUCGAAGCACCACGUGAUGAUCGGGUGUGAUAGAUUCCUACGUUCACAUACAACGGGUGUAAGACAGUUUUACACAUGCAAAACACUUAGGUUAAACUUGACGAGCCUAGCAUGUAUAUACAUGGCCUCAGAACACAGAGACCGAAAGGUCGAACAUGAGUCAUAUGGAAGAUACGAUCAACAUGGAGAUGUUCACCAAUGAUGACUAGUCCGUCUCACGUGAUGAUCGGACACGUCCUAGUCGACUCGGAUCGUGUAACACUUAGAUGACUAGAGGGAUGUCAAAUCUGAGUGGGAGUUCACUAAAUUAGAUGAACUUAAUUAUCAUGAACUUAGUCUAAAAUCUUUGCAAAAAUGUCUUGUAGAUCAAAUGGCCAACGCUCAUGUCAACAUGAACUUCAACGAGUUCCUAGAGAAAACCAAGCUGAAAGAUGAUGGCAGCAACUAUAUGGACUGGGUCCAGAACCUGAGGAUCAUCCUCAUAGCUUCCAAGAAAGCAUAUGUCCUAGAAGGACCACUAGGUGAUGCACCCAUCCCAGAGAACCAAGAUGUUAUGAACGCUUGGCAGUCACGUGCUGAUGAUUACUCCCUCGUUCAGUGCGGCAUGCUUUACAGCUUAGAACCGGGUCUCCAAAAGCGUUUUGAGAAACACGGAGCAUAUGAAAUGUUCGAGGAGCUGAAAAUGGUUUUCCAAGCUCAUGCCCGGGUCGAGAGAUAUGAAGUCUCCGACAUGUUCUAUAGUUGUAAGAUGGAGGAAAAUAGUUCUGUCAGUGAGCACAUACUCAAAAUGUCUGGGUUGCACAACUGCCUAACCCAGCUGGACAUCAACCUCCCGGACGAGGCGGUCAUUGACAGAAUCCUUCAGUCGCUCCCACCAAGCUACAAGAGAUUUGUGAUGAACUACAAUAUGCAGGGGAUGGUGAAAACUAUUCCUGAAGUAUUUUCAAUACUGAAGUCUGCAGAGGUAGAAAUCAAGAAAGAACAUCAAGUGUUGAUGGUCAAUAAAACCACCAAGUUCAAGAAGGGCAAGGGUAAGAAAAACUUCAAGACGGACGGCAAGGAUGUUGCCGCACCCGGUAGGCCAGUUGCCGGGAAGAAGUCAAAGAAUGGACCCAAGCCUGAGACUGAGUGCUUUUAUUGCAAAAGGAAGGGUCACUGGAAGCGGAACUGCCCCAAAUAGUUAGCGGACAAGAAGGCCGGCAACACUAAAGGUAUAUGUGAUAUACAUGUAAUUGAUGUGUACCUUACCAGUACUCGUAGUAACUCCUGGGUAUUUGAUACCGGUGCCGUUGCUCAUAUUUGUAACUCACAGUAGGAGCUGCGGAAUAAGCGGAGACUGGCGAAGGACGAGGUGACGAUGCGCGUCGGGAAUGGUUCCAAGGUCGAUGUGAUUGCCGUCGGCACGCUGCCUCUACAUUUACCCACGGGAUUAGUUUUAAACCUCAAUAAUUGUUAUUUAGUGCCAAGUUUGAGCAUGAACAUUGUAUCUGGAUCUCGUUUAAUACGAGAUGGCUACUCAUUUAAAUCCGAGAAUAAUGGUUGUUCUAUUUAUAUGAGAGAUAUGUUUUAUGGUCAUGCCCCGAUGGUCAAUGGUUUAUUCUUAAUGAAUCUCGAACGUAAUGUUACACAUAUUCAUAGUGUGAAUACCAAAAGAUGUAAAGUUGAUAACGAUAGUCCCACAUACUUGUGGCACUGCCGCCUUGGUCAUAUUGGUGUCAAGCGCAUGAAGAAGCUCCAUGAUGAUGGACUUUUAGAGUCUGUCGAUUAUGAAUCAUUUGACACAUGCGAACCAUGCCUCAUGGGCAAAAUGACCAAGACUCCGUUCUCCGGAACAAUGGAGCGAGCAACCAACUUAUUGGAAAUCAUACAUACUGAUGUGUGUGGUCCAAUGAGCGUUGAGGCUCGCGGAGGAUAUCAUUAUGUUCUCACUCUCACUGAUGACUUGAGUAGAUAUGGGUAUGUCUACUUGAUGAAACACAAGUCUGAGACCUUUGAAAAGUUCAAGGAAUUUCAGAAUGAGGUAGAGAAUCAACAUGACCGAAAGAUAAAGUUCCUACGAUCAGAUCGUGGAGGAGAAUAUUUAAGUCACGAAUUUGGUACGCACUUAAGGAAAUGUGGAAUCAUUCCACAACUCACGCCGCCUGGAACACCUCAGCGUAACGGUGUGUCCGAAUGUCGUAAUCGCACUCUAUUGGAUAUGGUGCGAUCUAUGAUGUCUCCUACCGAUUUACUGCUAUCAUUUUGGGGAUACGCUCUAGAGACAGCUACAUUCACUUUAAACAGGGCUCCGUCUAAAUCCGUUGAGACGACACCGUAUGAAUUAUGGUUUGGGAAGAAACCUAAGCUAUCGUCUCUAAAAGUUUGGGGAUGCGAUGCUUAUGUCAAGAAACUUCAACCUGAAAAGCUCGAACCCAAGUCGGAAAAAUGCGUCUUCAUAGGAUACCCUAAGGAAACCAUUGGGUAUACCUUCUACUUAAGAUCCGAGGGCAAGAUCUUUGUAGCCAAGAACGGAUCCUUUCUGGAAAAAGAGUUUCUCUCGAAAGGAGUAAGUGGGAGGAAAGUAGAACUCGAUGAAGUAGUACCUCUUGAACCGGAAAGUAGUGGAGCUCAGGAAAAUGUUCCUGUGGUGCCUACACCGACUAGAGAGGAAAUUAAUGAUGAUGAUCACAGUACUUUGGAUCAAGUUGCUACUGAACUUCGUAGGUCCACAGGGACACAUUCCAAACCAGAGUGGUAUGGCAACCCUGUCCUGGAAAUCAUGUUUUUAGACAACGGUGAACCUUCGAACUAUGAAGAAGCGAUGGCGGGCCCAGAUUCCAACAAAUGGCUUGAAGGCAUGCAAUCCGAGAUAGAAUCCAUGUAUGAAAACAAAGUAUGGACUUUGACAGACUUGCCCGAUGAUCAGCGAGCGAUAGGAAACAAAUGGAUCUUUAAGAAGAAGACAGACGCGGAUGGUAAUGUUACCAUCUAUAAAGCUCGACUUGUCGCUAAGGGUUAUCGGCAAGUUCAAGGGGUUGACUACGAUGAAACUUUCUCUCCCGUAGCAAAGCUGAAGUCCGUCUGAAUCAUGUUAGCAAUUGUCGCAUACUAUGAUUAUGAGUUAUGGAAGAUGGACGACAAAACGGCAUUCCUUAACGGGCAUCUUAAGGAAGAACUGUAUAUGAUGCAGCCGGAGGGUUUUGUCGAUCCUAAGAAUGAUAAUAAGGUAUGCAAGCUCCAGCAAUCCAUUUAUGGGCUGGUGCAAGCAUCUCGGAGUUGGAACAUUCGCUUUGAUGAGAUUUUCAAAGCGUUUGGGUUUAUGAAGACUUAUGGAGAAGCCUGCGUUUACAAGAAAGUGAGUGGGAGCUCUGUAGCAUUUCUCAUAUUAUAUGUAGAUGACAUACUUUUGAUGGGAAAUGAUAUAAAACUUUUGGACAGCAUUAAGGCCUACUUGAAUAAGUGUUUUUCAAUGAAGGACCUUGGAGAAGCUGCUUACAUAUUAGGCAUCAAGAUCUAUAGGGAUAGAUCGAGACGCCUCAUAGGUCUUUCACAAAGCACAUACCUUAAUAAAAUAUUGAAGAAGUUUAAAAUGGAUCAGUCCAAGAAAGGGUUCUUGCCUGUAUUGCAAGGUGUGAAGUUGAGCUUGGCUCAAUGCCCGACCACGGCAGAAGAUAAAGAAGAGAUGAGUGUCAUCCCCUAUGCCUCAACCAUAGGAUCUAUUAUGUAUGCCAUGUUGUGCACCAGACCUGAUGUAAACCUUGCCGUAAGUUUGGUAGGAAGGUACCAAAGUAAUCCCGGCAAGGAACACUGGACAGCGGUCAAGAAUAUCCCGAAGUACCACAAAAGGACAAAGGACAUGUUUCUCGUUUAUGGAGGUGACAAAGAGCUCGUCGUAAAGGGUUACGUCGAUGCUAGCUUCGACACAGAUCUGGAUGACUCUAAGUCACAAACCGGAUACGUGUAUAUGUUGAAUCGUGGAGCAGUAAGCUGGUGCAGUUGCAAGCAGAGCGUCGUGGCGGGAUCUACAUGUGAAGCGGAGUACAUGGCAGCCUCGGAGGUAGCGCAUGAAGCAAUAUGGAUGAAGGAGUUCAUCACCGACCUAGGAGUCAUACCCAAUGCGUCGGGGCCAAUCACUCUCUUCUGUGACAACACUGGAGCUAUUGCCCUUGCCAAGGAGCCCAGGUUUCACAAGAAGACCAGGCACAUCAAGCGUCGUUUCAACUCCAUUCGUGAAAAUGUUCAAGAUGGAUACAUAGAUAUUUGCAAAGUACAUACGGAUCUGAAUAUCGCAGAUCCGUUGACUAAACCUCUUCUGCGAGCAAAACAUGAUCAACACCAGAACUCUAUGGGUGUUCGAUUCAUCACAAUGUAACUAGAUUAUUGACUAUAGUGCAAGUGGGAGACUGUUGGAAAUAUGCCCUAGAGGCAAUAAUAAAAGGAUUAUUAUUAUAUUUCCUUGUUCAUGAUAAUUGUCUUUAUUCAUGCUAUAAUUGUAUUAUCCGGAAAUCGUAAUACACGUGUGAAUACAUAGACCAUAAUAUGUCCCUAGUGAGCCUCUACUUGACUAGCUCGUUGAUCAACAUAUAGUCAUGGUUUCCUGACUAUGGACAUUAGAUGUCGUUGAUAAUGGGAUCACAUCAUUAGGAGAAUGAUGUGAUGGACAAGACCCAAUCCUAAGCAUAGCACAAGAUCGUGUAGUUCGUUUGCUAGAGCUUUUCCAAUGUCAAGUAUCUUCUCCUUAGACCAUGAGAUCGUGUAACUCCCGGAUACCGUAGGAGUGCUUUGGGUGUACCAAACGUCACAACGUAACUGGGUGACUAUAAAGGUGCACUACAGGUAUCUCCGAAAGUGUAUGUUGGGUUGACACGGAUCGAGACUGGGAUUUGUCACUCCGUAUGACGUAGAGGUAUCUCUGGGUCCACUCGGUAGUGCAUCAUCAUAAUGAGCUCAAAGUGACCAAGUGUCUGGUCACGGGAUCAUGCAUUACGGUACGAGUAAAGCGACUUGCCGGUAAAGAGAUUGAACAAGGAAUUGGGAUACCGAUGAUCGAAUCUCGGGCAAGUAAAAUACCGAUUGACAAAGGGAAUUGAAUACGGGGUUGCCUGAAUCCUCGACAUCGUGGUUCAUCCGAUGAGAUCAUCGAGGAGCAUGUGGGAGCCAACAUGGGUAUCUAGAUCCCGCUGUUGGUUAUUGACCGGAGAGCCAUCUCGGUCAUGUCUACGUGUCUCCCGAACCCGUAGGGUCUACACACUUAAGGUUCGGUGACGCUAGGGUUGUAUAGAUAUGAGUAUGCAGCAAACUGAAAGUUGUUCGGAGUCCCGGAUGAGAUCCCGGACGUCACGAGGGGUUCCGGAAUGGUCCGGAGAUAAAGAAUUAUAUAUAGGAAGUGCAGUUUCGGCCAUCGGGAGAGUUUCGGGGGUCACCGGUAUUGUACCGGGACCACCGGAAGGGUCCCUGGGGUCCACCGGGUGGGGCCACCAAUCCCGGAGGGCCCCGUGGGCUGAAGUGGGGAGGGGACCAGCCCCUGGUGGGCUGGUGCGCCCCCCUUGGGCCCCCCCUCCCGCGCCUAGGGUUGGAAACCCUAGGGUGGGGGGGGCGCCUCCACUUGCCUUGGAGGGCACUCCACCCCCUGGCCGCCGUCCCCUUGGGAGAUCCCAUCUCUAGGGCCGGCUCCCCCCCAGGGGUCCUAUAUAAAGGAGGGGGAGGGGAGGGCAGCCGCACCCUGAAGUCUUGGCGCCUCCCUCCCCCCUUGCUACACCUCCUCCUCCCGUAGUCGCUUGGCGAAGCCCUGCCGGAACUCUGCUGCAUCCACCACCACGUCGUCGUGCUGCUGGAUCUUCAUCAACCUCUCCUCCCCCCUUGCUGGAUCAAGAAGGAGGAGACGUCACACUGACCGUACGUGUGUUGAACGCGGAGGUGCCGUCCGUUCGGCGCUAGGAUCUCCGGUGAUUUGGAUCAUGACGAGUACGACUCCCUCAACCCCAUUCUCUUAAACGCUUCCGCUCGCGAUCUACAAGGGUAUGUAGAUGCACUCCCCUCUCUUGUUGCUAGAUGAACUCAUAGAUUGAUCUUGGUGAACGUAGGAAAUUUUUAUUUUAUGCAACGUUCCCCAACACUUUGGUGAGGCGGUGAUGGUACACCUAGCGCCGGAUCCAUGCAUCAUUUGGGCGGACGCAUUGGAUUCCCCGCGGAAGGAGUUCGAGUGUUGCCGUUGCCAUCGGGCAGCCUCCUCCCGGGAGCGGUGGAGCGCAAGCUGGAUGGCCAGCUCCUCCUAGGAGCCGCGUGGGAUGAGUUCGGGGUUGACGGAUCUGGAGGUGUAACACUGGGAUCCGCCUCCUGCCAUGCCGAAGAAGGCCAUAAGAUCGUCGAACGGGAGCUUGGGUGGCGGCAUAGAGUGGAGUAAAGUGGCUAGGGUUUGGUCCGGCAAGCGGAUGGGGAGGAAUAUAUGUGGGGUCGGGUGGGCCAGCGUGGACCGGGACCGACAUGGCGGACGCGCCUGGGCGCCGCAUAUUCUUCCUAGAUUUGGGCUGGAUAUCAGGGGUGCUGGUUAGCUUGGGCGUUUGAGGCCCAUCUGGAUAGUUUUUCUGUGACCUGACCGUUCGUCCGGGCGUUUGAGGUGGGUUUGGGACGCCCAGGUGUAAAUGCUCUUAGACCAUGUAGUACCUUGAGGAGGAUGGUGGGUCCAUGGAACAACUACAGCCUCUCCAUUUUGUUUGGGCGCAGGGCGAUAACGGAGUUAUCUCUACUCCUAAAGAGGGAGUCGUUAGUCUCCCUUCCACGGUUUUUUUGUCUUACCUCCCAUCUUUGUUUCAUUUUUUCCGUCUCUUUUUCCACCACCGUCUGUUUUUUCUCAUCUCCACCUGGCAUGUAACGAAAAAAAAUCUGUUUCAUAGGUCGAUUGUCAAGGUCCGAGAGCCGCCGCCACCUUCAUUGCGGACCUCUAGGUCGCCGUCCGGACACACCGCCGAGGUCCGCAAUCACCGACGUUGAGGUCCGAGAGGAGCUGCCGCCCCCUUCAUUCUGGGCCUGGACGCUUCAUGGUCCUCCUACCUCUCCCUUUCCUCUCCCCUUCUCUCCCGCUUCCAUCCUCACUCGCCGCCCCUGCCUCUCNNNNNNNNNNNNNNNNNNNNNNNNNNNNNNNNNNNNNNNNNNNNNNNNNNNNNNNNNNNNNNNNNNNNNNNNNNNNNNNNNNNNNNNNNNNNNNNNNNNNNNNNNNNNNNNNNNNNNNNNNNNNNNNNNNNNNNNNNNNNNNNNNNNNNNNNNNNNNNNNNNNNNNNNNNNNNNNNNNNNNNNNNNNNNNNNNNNNNNNNNNNNNNNNNNNNNNNNNNNNNNNNNNNNNNNNNNNNNNNNNNNNNNNNNNNNNNNNNNNNNNNNNNNNNNNNNNNNNNNNNNNNNNNNNNNNNNNNNNNNNNNNNNNNNNNNNNNNNNNNNNNNNNNNUCUCUCUCUCUCUCUCUCUCUCUCUUGUUUCCUACCCCACUGGUUCUACAAUGCUGGUCGUCGCCUUGGGUUGGCGAACCUAGCUACUGUGGGUUGGGAUUCAAAUGCCACAUCAUCUUUGGGACGCGGCCGUGACGGCUUGGCCUGAUGCCUGCGAAGUAGGGCGAGCAGAGACAACAUGAGACUGCGCCGCUGUGCUGUUCGCCGUGACGCGCUGUCACGCUGUGUAGAUGGAGGAUGCGUGCCCAAGCCUUGUUGUGCCUGUCUUCCCGUGCGGUAGUCGGGAUCUGGACUGGAUCGGGGUUGAGUUCGACACCACCGAACCCCGGCUUCCAGGAGACCAGGCGCCUCCUCUCCUCAUCACCCGUCUCACCAGAGGCAUGUGCAGAAUUCCGUACACCAUCUGCGCAAACAUGGUGGUCGACGACGCUCUGGAUGUGGUCUACGUGAGGACUAGGUUCCAUCAUUAACAUGUACCCUGGCAAGGUAUGUGCUAUGGGAUGUAAACUCUCGAUUUUAUCUUCAUUUUAGUUGCCUUCAUCUCAUGCUUUGUUCGUUCCAUAGGCAUUUGUCAUGAAUCUAUUUUCAGGAGGGUGAUGUUAACGAUUUCAAAAACUUGAUAGCAGGGUAUGGCUAUAGUUAUUGGUCAUGCAUUAUCGCGAGGCUUGACAAGCAUACCAUAAAAUGGUUUUUAUUUAUGCUCUCGUAGGUUAAACCAAUCUCUGUCAUUAUGAAAUUGGCAUAGCUGAACAUGAUCAGGACUUCAGCAGGGCAGGGUCAUUACUUUGGAGUUUCAGCACUCAUAGUUGGUGAGUGCUUAUGUCCUAAAAUUUUGGAUGUGACUAAACAUAGGCUGGUAUGGCUAAUCUUUUUUGCUUUUCUGUCCUUGCUCUUCACGGAAUCUUCAGGUUUACGGAUUGAUAAUUGUGAUCUAUGUUUCAACCACUUCCCAAUGUUUUACUUGAUGAGAAGGUUCUAAUUUUAUUUUAUUUUAUUUCACUUGAUGAGAAGGGUCCAUGUUUCACCGACUUUGUACAAGUGUGUUUGCUUAGCUAGAUUUCUGCCCUUAUUUUCUAUUUGACAUCCCUCAAUCAUUUUCUGCAGAUUCACUUCGUUCGUAUUCUAUAUUGUUGUAAGUGCACCUAGGGAUAUUAUAGUAGUUCUUAUCUGCAGUUUACUACAACUGGUGACCACAUCUCCAUAUUAUUAUCUUUAAAAUGUACUUUCAAAAAGUAAACUAAUUAACGUUAACCUUCCGCUCUGUAGAAACCACAUAAUUUCAACUCAUUAAUCAUUUUUUAGCGGAAAGGCAGUAAUCAAUGAUGGCGAUUUAAACUGUACUCCUUAUAGUAUUGAUAUUCCCCAUGCACCGGUAUGUUCUCGUACAUCCGUGAAACUUCUGAGUCAAAAUGUUAUAUCCUUAUGUAUACAGUUCAUCAUUGGUUGUUACAGAAUUUCCCAGUGGGCACAACCUCAACCCACACCUCCCACCAGGAUCUUCUCUCUGCCGGAGCCAUCCUACCUGCAGCCAGCUCCCCCUCGUACGCCCUGAUCUCCACCUUGUGUGCUGGUCCAUUCAUCAUAGCUAGAAGGUAAUGACUAAUGAGCAUGUCAUCUCUGCCCCUCUCAAUUUCAUCCUUGUGUUGUUUAUUUUUCAGAGAAUGUGGUAUUAUGUAGCCCCUCUCUGUUGAUGAAUUGAAUGUAUAGAUUAUAUACUAGCAAAAGAGCCCGUGCGUUGCAACGGGAUAAUAAAACCGACGAAUUGUACUCGUGUGACUUGAGCUUUGGUUGGUUUCACACGCUUAUACUUCUUAGUUUUCUUGUAAAAUAAUAUGGCGGUAUUUAUACUAUUCAGGGUUGGUUAUCCAUCCGUCAGGUUAUUCAGGGCGUAAAUUUACGGAAAGAAGCAUAUUGUGACGGUGAAUGCGACGGAGUCAAUCCGUGCUUUAUUAUUUGGAAAAGAGAAAUAUGCCUAUGCAUUGCUACGGCUCUAGAAUAAACCUAUACAUGGUCAAAAUACAGGACAGCAACAUGUCUUCUUUUAGUUUUUUUCAAACCAUUAGAAAUAUGUUAGAUUUUACUUAAGUUUAGUUCCCUUAUUCCACCAUAAAGCAUUCCGGUUGAAAAGGAGAUGGCGUCUGUCAUUUACUUUCUAGAAAAACAUAGAGUCGAUAAACUUUCCUGUAUCUUCAGCCAUAGGUCCUUUACUCAUAUUUAAAAAAUUGUAAUAUUUAAUCCAAGCAAAAUUAUAUGAAUUACAGGAAAAAUUGUACUCAUGUGACUUGAGCUUUGGUUGGUUUCACACGCUCAUACUUCUUAGUUUUUUUGUAAAAUAAUACGGCGGUAUUUAUACUAUUCAGGGUUGGUUAUCCAUCCGUCAGGUUAUUCUUGAAGCUAGCUAGUAAUCACCAUGAGUUCAGUUGGCGUUCCAAGUAAUCACCAAGCCAAUCGACCGUGAGCAUCCGGACGUUAGCUGCGAAUGACAGACGGCUGGAUGGGCUAAUGAAGAUUAAACCUCAAUUUUGUACGCGGUAGUGCUGCAGACCUUCUGCAGUGAGACUUCGAUCAGAAGGACUUACCAGACAGGGGCACGGAGGAUUUAGAUAUCCUACUGCAGCUGCCGCUGCUCACCAAGGAGUUGCUCCCGUGCCGCUCGAAGGUCGCCAGCUCGGGGCAGAGCAGGAGCUUAAAGGCCAUGGACACGCCAGACCUGAAGGACGGCAGUGGCAAGGGUGGCGCAGGUGGGCGACGUUGCUCGCGCUCGGGGCGGACGCCGGCGGCGCUCGAUCUUGCCUAGAGCACGGAGGGGACAGGGGAGCAGGGGAAGAGGUAGGCAGUAAACCAGAUAGGAAUGGCACAUGUAUCGCAUCUGCCCUCGGCGGAGCUCCGCUCUGUCGUCAACAUCCGCGACGGACCCCACGAAGCCCAUCAUGUCGGCGUCCUUGAGGAACCGCCCCUGCUUGCCGCGGCCGACCGCAAUUUCGGAGAAAUUGGAGAUGGGGGAUCGUCCGCGGUUCGGCAACGGGUACGGGGAGGAGUCCGGGGCAAAGACUGUUCCGCUCGACCGGCCGGAGGAGCGCAGCCGCUCCGGUGGCCAGAGAUCGAGGGGGUGGCGGCGGUGUCCAACCCCCAACAGGCUGUGUUCUUUUUCUGACGGGACGAAAAAGGGGAAUCCCUUCUCUGGAACCGCUGUCGUUGCUCGACUGUGCUCCAAGCCGCCGCCGCCACCGCCGUCGCCUGAUUGCUCUCUCCCCGUCAACCCCCCCUCUCUCUCGAUCCAGCGACGCGUGUUUAGAUCGAAGCCCCCUGAAUUCCACGACCGAUCUGAUUCUAUCGAUCGAGGCAGCUCUGUUUCGAUUUGUAUAUGUACUUUUUAGGAGGAGUGUCCCGUGUUUGUUUCUGAUAGCCAUCUAUUUGUUUUAUGCUCAACAGGCCCAUUAGCCCUUGAUCUGGCCCAGGGAGUCUAGCGACCCAGGGAGUCUAGCGGGGAAGAGAGCGGGUGCGACCGAUUGGAUGCACACGACGUGGUUGGCCAUCUGAAUUAGUACCACCUUGAAUAUAUUUUAAAAUUAAAAUUGAAAACGUAAAAUCACGGAAAGAAGCGCAUUGUGACGGUGAAUCCGGAGACCCAAUCCAUGCUUUAUUAUUAGGGAGAGAUUACUAAAGAAAUCCGCCUUAAAAGGCGUUCCACUAAAAACGCAGUAGGAUCCUAUUUCAAGUUCCUUGCACUUAAACCGCAAAAGGGAAAGGCAAUUUUCCUAACUUUUCCCGUUAACGCAGAGCAGUCAGAUGAAUAACAGUAGGAUUGUUCAGUUUGUAUGCUCGUCCACUACUUCGGUUUAUUCAGGUUGCAUGAUACAGUAAUUUUGCAAAUGUGUCAGACUAUCUAUUUAGAUUAGCUAAUAGAAUUUAUUUCCACUAUGUGUUGUGCGGAGGAUAGAUCAGCAGGACUAAACAAUAUGUGUCUAACACCAUUUGCACAAUUCCCUUAAACUGCCCGCAGUAGCUGACCAAGUACCACCAAUGUUGUCAUCAGUCUUGAAGGGGAUUCAAAACCCGGUAGGAUCGCACACCGUAUGGCUUGGACAUCGGAAGAAGAUGCAAGAUUGGUAAUGAGAUUACUUGCCUCAGUGCUCAAUUUAUGAUCCUAUUCAUUUGAACUGAUUUACUUGUUUGUCUCAGCUAAUCUAUCCUCAAACGCAGACAACCAUUUGGUCGAAAACCUCAAAUGUUUCCAUCGAGAUAAUAACAAGAAGAACAUCAAGUACUGGGAUGACAUUGUUGUUACAACAAUAGUAAUAGGCCAAGUCACCGGAAGGGAGAUGCUCGUCGUGUAUGAUGGACAUGGUGGCUCGGAGGUGAGGUUAUCUUCUCUUGAAAAUCUUGACCUAGACAAAAGAAAUUAACCUUGAGGCCAUGGGAAGCAGGAAAGCGAAGGUCACGAAUGGCCGCACAAUUUGGUGGUGUUUGUGUGUUGUGCGGUCAAGCCUUUCUACGGGCUCCAUGGUGAUGCAGCAGCAUCACCUUCUUACGGAGAUGAGAUGAUGGGAUGAGGCCGCAUGGUGUUACCUAUUGUUGUUGUGUUAGCUUUGCUGUGUAUGUGUGCGUGUGAGAGAGAUCAGCGGCUGAUUGGGGAUGGUUAUGUUGUUGCUAGAUUAUAAAACAUGUCGUUUAAGUGAAUAUCAACUGUCGGAAAGAAAGCAAUGGUACUGUGAUUCUACUGUUUUAUGCUAGACGUUAAAGAAUACUACUUGCAAGCAGUUAGCGACGAACUGAGGGUUUGCAAGUAGUACUUUUUCCCAGUUGUGCUUCUACUUGCCUGAAUUUAAGUAGGAGAAAUUACCAGUUGUGUUUUUUUGAAAUAAUCUUGAUUUAACUAUGAUUUUCAGAAACUGGUACAGCUUUAACACGGUUCCUUGCUCACUGUGGUACAUUAAAACAAUAAAUUGAGGAGUUUAGAGCCUGCCUAGAGACCUCACAUAGCACCGCCUCAUUUGGCAGCGACAUCAUGAUGAUCUUGUCUGGUCUACUCCAAGUCUCCGCUUGUGGUUUGUGUUGGAAAUAUGAGCAAUUUACCGAAUGAUUUUAUUAACAAAAAUACUAGAUAAAGCAUGACUAAAAUAGGAAAUAUAAAGAAAGUCAUGCAGUCUGACAGAGAGAAGGUAAACAUCGUCUGCAUAAAUGAACUUGAGCUAAACACAUCUAGAACAGACAAUAGAUGAAGUUGCUCAUACGAAACAGAACCUAACAUACGUAGGGCAGAAACUAGAGCCAAGAACUGUAGCAGGACUUCUAACAGAAAGGAGAAGAACACGUACGGCAUAGCAGCAGCAGAAGAGCUGGACUUGGGGUCAGUGUCCUCGCCUGCCAUGUCGUCGAGGAGGUCGUGGACGUCGGGGAAGAAGUCGUCGUCGGGGAAGUAGUCGUCGGCGACCGGAUCGUCUGUGAUGAAGCAGCCAGUAGUCGCGCUGAGCGCUUCCCAAAAACCUUAUCACCCUUCUCCCGUACAUGACUCAAAAGGUGCGGUCUCUGAGGCCUACUGUCCCAACAUGCGGUGCACGCCGCAAGUCGGGAUGAGGAAGACAGCAGCAGCUCAGAGAUGGAACCGAUGGCGAGGGAAGGAGCAGUUCUGGUGCGUAUCUCUGAAAGGAGCGACCUCCCUUUUAUAGGCGCAAGAGAAGGAGGCGAGAGGCUGCGCCGGGAGCUGAAGGGAAUGUGGGAGACGAAACGAACAAGCAGCAGCUGAAGGGGCGCGCCGUUCGGAUUCAGUGUCCAGGCACAGAAAAAAACUGUUUCAGCUUCCGAGUGACCUUUCGUAUACACGUAGUGCGUGGCAAAACUUUAGACAUCGGCUCAUUCCCGCAACCCGCGGCGUGACGAGGCGGGCGGCGGAGGAGGAGCGCGCGUGGAUGUCCCUCUUGUUCUCAUGCUCAUACAAGUGGGGAAGGAGUCUCCCUUAUAAAGAGGUCCAACUCCCUCUAAACUAGCAAGGUGGGACUAAACUUUAGUUCCACCUCUUACCUUGCAUGAAUGGGCUGCGUGGGCCUCUAGGAUUUAUUAGGAAUUUCUGAAACUGCUAUUGGGCUAGGCCCAAAUAGACAAAAAUUCCAGCAGUUUGUGUUCUUUAGGUCUAUGGAAAACACCACGGUGCAUGCCAUUGUCCGUCAUUUCGGGAAAAAUGACCUAGAACAUGCAGAUAACUAAAUUUGGUGAAAGAACUGAAGAAAUCUACUACAUCACAAUAUGAAUUAAAAACAAACAAAAAAUUGGGCAGGACCUCUACAUAAAAAUGGACAGUUAUAGAAAUUUAGCGAAACGGAAAUAAAUCAACGGUUUGCCAAAAAUUUAACGCUUAUAGUAUGAAUCCCAAUAAGGAAAUGAAGACAUCUACUACAUCACAAUAUGAAUAAAACAUAAACAAAGAAAUUUGGCAUGACCUCUGCAUAAAAAUGGACAUAUUAAGUGAUUGAGAUCUGGCGAAACAGAAAUAAAUCAACGUAUCGCCAAAACUUUAGCACUUAUAGUAAGUAUACCUAUAAUGAAUUGAAGACAUCUACUACAACAUAUUAUUUAACUCAGUAUGAACAGAAAUAAUGUACGGAAUAAUACAAUAUAUAUGUGAGACUAUAUAAUUACCUCUAAUAUGAACAAAUUGGUAUUCCUUGUUCAUGGUUACGUAUGUGGCUGCUGCAACUAUAAUUGUUUUGAUGUGUGUGCCUUAAAAACUAUAGAACAAGAAACUACAACUAUAAAUGAACUCUAGUAUGAACAAAUCGAACUCAUUAACGAAUAUGAACACAUUAAUAGCAAUAACCCUAACCCUAGUCGAACGUACGUGUGCGUGUGCGUGGCGGCCGUGGCCGUGGGUGACAAGGAGGAAAGCCGGAGAGGGAGGCGCGGACGACAAUGUAUUACUGGAUGGAGCGGAGGGUGACGGGGCGGAUCGUCGGUGAGGGCGACGGGGCGGCGAAUCGAGGGCGAGGGAGACGCGCGGUGAACGGCUAGGGCGGCGACGAGUAAGCGGUGCUGAUGGCGGCAGCGGACAGGGACGACGACUUGGGUAGCAUGGAUGAGCCAACGGCGUCCGCGACGAGAUGGGGAAGAGUGGGAGUGAGAGAGUAAAUUGGGGUAGGAGGAGAGGGGGCACGUGCGUGUACGUAGGUCGAUUGAGUUUGUCGUAUGCGACCGGUGUGCCAAGCCUCCCAACACGGCUUCUUUGGGGUGGUGGGCGGAAAACCGAUUCGAUUUGGGGCAGAAUAGACAGCUAACUUAGUUGUGGCGGGUAGGGGCCCAUACCCGCCAGAGCUAAUAUCUGUAUAAAAUUUAUUUUUCUGGCGUGCAUUGCUGGCACUAAACUGUGGCCGGCCCAAUCGAGCGUCCGCCACUUUUGCAUUCAAGAACAAUGGCGGCCGAGGCUAACACCCGCCACUGAUCGCAUUCAUCAGGUGGCCAUACUCAGUGGUGCUUACUUGUGGCGGGUGGUGUUCUCCACCCGCCACUGCUACGCAUGUAACUCUGGAGGUCAUGUUGUGGCACCUGCCACUGGUACUUUUGCUAACUAGCAGUGGCAGGUGCUAUGUCCCGCCCGCCAAUCUUUCGAAUUCACCUAUAAGCCCUUUCCCAGUAGAGUAAUAAAGGACUUCUUGACAAGUCCGUGUAGAUUAAAGGUAUGUUAGUAGAUGGUGUAAUAAAUACAUGCUUUAGUGAUCUAAGGAUACAAAUAUGCCACUAUUUAUUUUGUAAAAGGUCGAAAUCAUUCUUAGAAAUCUUAGUAACAACAGUUCUCAUGAACAACUUUGACAAAAUGCAUCAAAUGUUACAAAUAAUACAUACAAACUUAGUUCAAUAAAUUAAUCAAUUGAAGUGAGAACAAACCUAAAUGUACUUAGAGUAAAUCAAUUAAUACGUGUAAAGCCAAUACUAAUCCAAUAUUUAUUAAUAAAUUUGCAUAGAAUUACAACCCUUUGACAUAGAAAGGGAAUAUGAUGAGUCAUGUAUAGAUAACUUGCACAACAUUCCUACCCUUGGCAUAAAAGGAGAAAUUGAUGAGUCAUGUAUUGAUAAUGUGCACAACAUCACUACCCUUGACAUAAAAGGAGAAUUUGAUGAGUCAUGUGUUGAUAACGUGUACAACAUUACUAUCAGUAUGUUCAACUUACCAUCAUAUUAUACAACACUACAAGUUAGUUUUAAAAAGAACAAGAGUCCAGAACGAAGAUCAGAAUACUUGCUUGAUCUAUCUUAACAACAUGCACUAGGACAAAAAUUUAGUCCCACGCAAGCUAUGAAGAUUUGUUUUAUGUAUAACUAUUUGUACAACAUGACAAACUUAGAUCCAAAAGGAAUGCAAUCCAGAUAAUUGUUUGACAUGUAAAGUGAAUAAGAUGAGUCAAUGCCAAUUAUCAAGUUUUCCUCACUCUUAGAUGAUAUGUACAAUAAAAAGACAACUUUGAUGAUCACUCUGAAAUUACGUUUGUAUGUAGUGCCACCAAACACAACAUCCCAAAUAUUAGUUUGAUAAGCAUCAAAUCACUUUUGAAAAAAGAAAGCAAUAAUGAAAAGAAACCUAACCAAGAUAGCUAUAAAAAGGCCUGCAAUAUGUAGACUCCAUACCAUCAUCCAUCCUUCACACACCUAGAGCACAAAUCAGCAAAUCCAAGUACGUAGUAGUUAACGCAAAUCGACCAUGAAGACCUUACUCAUCCUGACGAUCCUUGCGAUGGCAAUAACCAUCAGCACCGCCAAUAUGCAGGUCGACCCUAGUGGCCAAGUACAAUGGCCACAACAACAACUAGUCCCCCAACCCCAACAGCCAUUAUCCCAGCAACCGCAACAAGCAUUUCCCCAACCCCAACAAACAUUUCCCCAUCAACCACAACAACAAGUUCCCCAGCCUCAGCAACCACAACAACCAUUUCUCCAGCCCCAACAAGCAUUCCCCCAACAACCACAACAACCAUUCCCUCAGACUCAACAACCACAACAACCAUUUCCCCAGCAACCACAACAACCAUUUCCCCAGCAAUCACAACAACCAUUCCCCCAGACUCAACAACCACAACAACCAUUUCCCCAGCAACCACAACAACCAUUCCCCCAGACUCAACAACCACAACAACCAUUUCCCCAGUUCCAGCAACCACACCAACCUUUUCCCCAGCCCCAACAACAAUUCCCGCAGCCCCAACAACCGCAACAAUCAUUCCCCCAGCAACAACGACCGUUCAUUCAGCCAUCUCUACAACAACGUUUGAACCCAUGCAAGAAUAUCCUCUUGCAACAAUGCAAACCUGCGUCAUUGGUGUCAUCCCUCUGGUCGAUAAUCUGGCCACAAAGCGAUUGCCAAGUGAUGCAGCAACAAUGCUGCCAAGAACUAGCACAGAUUCCUCAGCAGCUCCAGUGCGCAGCCAUCCAUAGCGUCGUGCAUUCCAUCAUCGUGCAGCAGCAGCAACAACAACAACAACAACAACAACAACAACAAGGCAUGCAUAUCCUGCUGCCACUAUCUCAACAACAACAGUUGGGUCAAGGUACUCUCGUCCAAGGCCAGGGCAUCAUCCAACCUCAGCAACUAGCUCAAUUGGAGGCGAUCAGGUCAUUGGUGUUGCAAACUCUUCCAACCAUGUGCAACGUGUAUGUCCCACCUGAGUGCUCCAUCAUCAGGGCACCAUUUGCCAGCAUCAGGGCAUCAUCAGGGCACCAUUUGCCAGCAUAGUCGCGGGGAUUGGUGGCCAAUGAAAAAAGCAAGAUCUAUACUAAUAGAUAGAUGGAUCAUCGUUACUUAGCAGAUGCACCAAUCGAUGUAACGAUGACAAAUAAAGUGGCGUGCACCAUCAUGUGUGACCCCGACCAGUGCUAGUUCAAGCUUGGGAAUAAAAGACAAACAGAGUUCUUGUUUGCCAGCAUUGCUUGUCAUUGUUCCAUUCACCAUGUAUUUAGAUGUUCAUCCCUAACCGCAGUUCUAGGCUUACACAUCAACAGCUAGUUGCUUGUGCCGGCAGGUUCCUAUGUAAUCUACCGAUUAAUGGUUGACCUAUUAAUCCAGUUUAUAGGCCGAUUGAUCUAUUAAUUGCUGCUCCCAAACUGACCGACCAGCUAUCAGUUACCAUUUUGCUGAACAUUGCACACAGUAAUAACUCAACGUAUUUUAAUGUCUAGAAGUAAAAGGGCCAUUUUAGCAGCAAAACAAGCGCCUGAUUAGGAACCAUCCAUCACUUUAAAUGUUCACCAAGAUAUUUUUGCGUUGGUGCAAUUUUGAGAUUGGUGGCACCGAAACAUUCCUCAAAGCAAUUCUUUAUGGGACUCCAAAGAGGUGAAAAUAAAGUAAAGUUGCCACAUGGUAAAAUAUAAAUCAUGCGGCGAGCAAGAGAAAAUAUUGAGUUACGAUAGCAAGCGCCAAACAUGCCAUUAAACUCUUCAUAUGGUUUCGUGCAGAGAGGGGGGAUUUAGAGAUGACAAACAAAGCUUAAGUAGCAUCGGUUCUGAUUGUAGAAAUUUCUUUUACCUAUAGAAUAACUCGGUUGUUAUUUCUUUAACAAUGUAGUGUGAUAUUAACUUAUCUCAAUCUAGGAACACAAAGCAAAUAUUACAUGUGCUUCUAUGGAUUCCAAGCAGAUGAGAAAUCAUAUUGUGUAGAAGUUCAUUAGAAGGAUAUAAUAGUUUUGACCUAAACAAAUUUACUAUUGUACUCGUGUCUUAGAAAAUUAAAGCUGAAAAUCAACAUAACCAUUGGACACUUCGAAAGACAAGUGUGGGAAAUAAAUAGUAGGAUGUAAAUUUGAGUAGAGUGUUUGAUCAAAUAUUGAACAAAUAACCCACAAACUACUAAAACUCAUCUAUUAAUUCUACCAUAUAUGAACUGUCACAAUGAUAAAGCUAUGAUUUUUUUGACAAAUAUGUAUCCUAGAACUAAUACAAGUUCAAACAAAUCAGCCACAGAUCCCCGAGCCCAUCCAACCAGAUAGCUGAAACUGAAAGAAGCAUUAGCUUGAUUAGAGCACCUACAGCCUAACUUGACAAAUUUGACCCCAGAAACGCUCGCGGACGCGCCCGGUAGUAACCGGUCACGCCUAAAAUAUUUCAUUCUACAACCAGAUACCUCAAAUUAGAAACCUCAAAUCCAUAUUAUUACAUGCAACAUAAAUCGAUCUUUAAGCAGAGCACGUCCGGUGAUCGAAUGCUCUCCGGAGUGUUGGUCCAGUCACCGGCAAGUUAGAGUAGGGCAUGGGAUACGAGGCGGGUCACGGGACUCGAGGCGCCACCGUCCCCCAUUCCCAACUCUUCUCCAUCGGAACCAGGACGGUGCCGGUGGACGUCAGAUCGAUGAUGGAUCCUUCCUGGGAUGAGCCAUCAACAUCGACCACCACGUGGUUGCGGUGCCCGGACUAGUGCACAAUAUGGGGAGCCGAAAAAUACGACUUUGCCUUCGCAACGACCACCACCGCGAGGGCUGUCGCCGCCUCCCGCACCCGCUGCCUUGCAUGGCAGGAGCGCCGAACUAUGUUUUGCGUCGGGCGGUGCCCAUGGUGUGUCCAUGGCCUCAGCACGCCAAUGGAGGGGCUGUGCGUCUGCCACCCAUUUGAACGCUAGAUGGACCGCACCACCUCUGGUGAGGCAGUGAUGGUACACCUAGCGCCGGAUCCAUGCAUCAUUUGGGCGGACGCAUUGGAUUCCCCGCGGAAGGAGUUCGAGCAUUGCCGUUGCCAUCGGGCAGCCUCCUCCUGAGACCGGCGGAGCGCAAGCUCGAUUGCCAUCUCCUCCUAGGAGCCGCGUGGGAUGAGUUCGGGGUCGACGGAUCUGGAGGUAUAACACUGGGAUCCGCCGCCUGCCAUGCCGAAGAAGGCCAUAAGAUCGUCGGACGGGGGCGGCAGGGAGUGAAGUGAAGUGGCUAGGGUUUGGUCCGGCAAGCGGAUGGGGAGGAAUAUAUGUGGGGUCGGGUGGGCCAGCGUGGAUCGGGACCGACAUGGCGGACGCGCGUGGGCGCCCCAUAUUCUUCCCAGAUUUCGGCUGGAUAUGAGGGGUGUUGGUCAGCUUGGGCGUUGAGGCCCGUCUAGGUCAUUUUUCUGUGACCUGGCCGUCCGCCGGGGUGUUUGAAGUGGGUUUGGGACACCCGGGUGUAAAUGCUCUUAGACCAUGUAGUACCUUGAGGAGGAUGGUGUGGGUCCAUGAAAGAACUACAGCCUUUCCAUUAUGUUCGGGCGCAGGGCGAUAACGAAGUUAUCUUUACUCCUACAAGGGGAGUUGUUAGUCUCCGUUCCAUGGGUUUUUUUGUCUCACCUCCCAUCUUCGUUUCAUUUUUUCCGUCUCUCUUUCACACCGUCGGGUGGAGCUUAUGUGUCAUACUCCGUGACCUUUCAUUAGUUUUCUAGAGAGAAUCCUACUCUCAUAGAUUGCGACGUUUAACAAUCAGACUCAUAUAGGUGUGUUCUUCAAAAGAUGUUCUGCAGGACAACAUCUCUCCUUCAAAAAGCCACUUAGAACACAUUAAGAUAUACAUCAACCUACCAUGCAGAUUAGGAGAGUAUUGCAUCUUCAUGGAGUGGUAUUUUAACAAUAAGGAUACACUACUAGGGAAAAGGCUAGCAGCAGCGCGGGUUUUUGGUGUAUCAGUAGCGCGGGGUGGGGCGCUACUAAUAAGGCGCUACAGCUAACAUAUAGCAGUAGCGCGUGGUCACCGGCGCUACUGCUACACAAGUGUAGCAGCAGCGCGGUUACUGGGAGCACGCUACUGCUAGUAGCUCUAGCGCCCUUUGCAGCAACGCGCUACUGCUAUAGAGGCGCUGCUGCUAACUUCUAUACACUCGCUACUGCUAAUUUAACAGGUUUUUUGUUUUUUUGGGCAUAUUUGUUUUGUAUUUGAACAGGCUUUAUAGAAGAAUCUUUAGCACAUAGAAAUGUCAUCAUGAUACACAUACAAAUGCCUGCGAGACCACGAAUAUAAUCAUAGCAUAUACAUACAAAUAGUCUCAUCAUAAUCAUCAUCCAACACAAAGUGGUCUCUCGUCAUCAUCUCGAAAAUAGCGAUACAAGUCCUUGAUUACUUGCAAAUACAUUGUCAUCCAUCUAAACAAUGGUAUACGCGAGAAGAGCUAUCACUUUGAGAACAUGAGUUCGUAUCCCUCUCUCGCAUUAGCGUGAACCUAAACUAACUACUGCCUGUCGCUCGGAAACCGGAAACCGGCAACACCUGGGUCUGACACUCCGGUCACUCAUCGUAUAUAUACUCCUGGCGUAGCACUUCUUCGCCAUCGAUGAUCUAUGCACCUGCAUCAUCACAUGAGUAGAUGAUAUGCAACAUAUAUAGUUGAGCAACAGAAAGAGACAGACUUGACAAAAAUAGAAACAACGUAUCAUAAGCAUAAAUAACAAAGUUCAUCAUAACCAAAAUGCCCUAACUAGAGUGAUCUUCGCUAGUCGAGGAGGAGGACGGUUUAAUUACAUCACAAAUAAAGUUUUACUGCGCAUAACUCAAAGUUUUGUCAUACAGAAAGUAUGGAGUAAACAGACACAUUGUCAUAUAUUGACAAUCACUCCAACAUGCCGUGCCAUCCAUCGAGGUCAGGGAGAUAGUCCCCGAGCUUAGUGAAAGGCUUCAUGUCGAGACGCUGAGAGGCUAUCCAUGUUCGGACGUCUUCCCACAACAUUUUUCCUCCGUAGAACAUCCCUGUUUUUCCGACGACCUCUUUCAUGAUGAUUUGGGCAAGUUCGCGUUGGAUGUUAUAGAACUCAGCUCGAAGUCGAUGAUCCUCGAUAUCUCCUAUGUCCUUUGCCCAUUGCAGAAUAUGGGCAUCGCCAGAUCUAGGUGACAUGUGAAGGUUCUGGUGAUCCCGUUUGUACUCCCGCAUGUGGUGUAGGACAUAGAAUCCACCAUUAAGAGAAUCGUUCGGUUGUUGGAUGCAGCAGAAGUCGGUCUUAUGGCUGAAGGCGGCCCUGCCGCCCCUUCUCUUCUUGUCCCUAACCUCUCCACCCCUUGCUUGGUAGUAAAACAUAGCACUGUCGAGAACAUCUUUGAUGUGGGUGUAAUCCUUUUUGUGAAUGUUAUUCGAUGAGUCCAAGUAAAGAGCAUGGGAGAAUCGGGGGUAGAGGAUGAUGAGGACGGCGCGCCCGCCGCUGCGCAAAAUAAGUACACCUCAAAUUAAUUAGCCUUCACCGUGCAAAUGAAUUAUUGAAAUCGAAGGAAGGAUAGCAGCGCGGAUGACUUACACGGGAUGAUAAGGCACGAGAAUCGCCUCCUUGUCCUUAUUGGCGAGCAUGAAACUAACGAUGUAAUUCCUCGCGUAUUCACGCUGCUCUGCACAGACUCCCAAGAAGCUCUCGUGCAUGUAGUACGGGUCAGUGACACAGAUAUGACGUAUCUGCUCAACCCCAAUGAUGUAGUUCAUGUGCAAGGCAUAAAGGCGGACAAAUGUAAAAUCCAGCUUCUUCACGUGAAACAUGUCGAAUAUGUAAUCGAAUCGGAGGAAGAACUUAUCCGCAGCGAAGCUGUCGACGUAUGACAUUUUCCGCGGAACGUUAUCCACGUAGAGUGGGUAUCCUGGAUCUUUCGAGGCAAUGAGGCAUUUCUCUACCCGUAGCACAUCAUCAUGAAGUCUCCUUAGAUCGCCGAAUCUGGCCCGUAGCGCUGUUGCAGGUAGGAUUGGUUGACCGGGGAUAUGCCAUUUAUCCGCAUCGGGGAUAUCUAGACGGUCCUGAAGCUGAGGCUGCUGAGGCGGCUGGAUCAUAGAAUCAACUUUUUUUCCUUUCCUCGCUCUCUUCCUAGACUUCUUUACUACCGGAAAGUCGUCAAUAACACAUUGAGACGGUAAUUCAGGCACCGACUCAUGAUGCUCAAACCCUGAGGAGGCGCCAGUAUAGACAUACUGUUCAGCGCCAUCGUCAUCCUCAUCCUCAUCCAUGGCGACGUCAUCAGCGACUAAUGGAGCCUCCUCCUUACCCCGUCCGCUAUCACCCAACCCGACACCCAACGCUAAUUGGGUAGGUGGGGUGUUGAUGUUCAUACCUUGCUGAGACUGCGUGCUCGUGGGUGUGCUCCCGGCCGCCUCCAGACGAAGCAGACUCUUUGGCCACAACAGGACCUACCCAUUGCAACAAUCACCAAGCCGCUGCGGUGUCUCCUCGUCAUCCACCAAUAGUGUUGGAGGAGGCAAAUUCUCGUGGCCCGGUUCGACACUGGCCAUGGAAACCUUGAAGACGUUUGGGGGAAUCGGCCGGCUGUGGAACAAUGGUUCCUUCGGCUUCAUUAUCGUCGCCUUCCCCAUGGCCACCUUCUGGUCCCCGAUGGUGUACAAUAUGGUGCGCGGGGUUUCGUCGGCCUGCAAAGAGAAGUCUGCGACGUGAGACAUUCGAAAGGCAACGAAAACGGGAGAUUAUACAUUUAUAUUGAAGGGGGCCGGUGUGACAGAUACCGUGAGGGCGUCGAGCUCAGCCAAAGACAAAGCACCGCCGAGCACGUCCGGUGCGGGAGCCGGUGCGGGAGCAGGUGCUCCCAAGAAGUCAGCAAGGGGAAAGUCCUCUGCAUUUUUUUCUGGAUUUUUCCUUGUCCAAGUGAUAACGCCCGUCACCAAGGAAGUAGACAAAUCUGCAACCGCCUGUUUUGCGGCAGCUACCGCUGUUGCGACUGUCUGAGAUGAUUUCUUCUCAACCGCAAUCUCAACCUUCUUGUCGAUGUUUUUUUCAGUUAACCUCCGUCUUUCCUUUCUCUCCUCUGUGGUCUCCCGGUAGUACUUCUUCCACGUGGCGCCGUCUCCGACACCGUGCACGCGUCCAUACGAUGGUCGAGUAUCCAUCGGUUGUCGUUUCAAUAUGUUCAACGUCCGGUUGAAUGGAGUGUCCCACUUGGGCCUCGCCAAUGCCUCAGACGGCGAGUCGUUUUCGACCGCAAUCCGGUGCUGCUCUCUCUGCAAAAGGCACAAGGAUCGUUUACAAAUAUGACUAACGUGUGCAGUCGAAUUGAUCAGAAACUAAAAUUACCAGCAGUCUCAUGAACUCCGUAAUGACCGGUGUUGUCUCAUAAACCUUCUUCACUGGGUCCCAACGGUGCCGAGCCCUCAGGACGUCACGCUCCUGCGGGACAGUGAAAUCCGCCAAGGGGUCUGGGAUGCCCAGACUCGCGGCUUCCGCGUCCUCCUUGGCCCAUUUGGACCUCUUUCCGCCGUAACCACGCUUCCGAGGUGGUGGCUCCCAAUGUUCCUCUUUUGAAGCCCCUUCAUGUACUUAGACUUUUUUUGGCAGCUUCGGCCUCGCAAGCCUCCUUGAAUAUUUGAAACUGCUCUUCCGUGAUUGUCAGAUUAUCCUUUACAAUCUCGGAGUAGGGUUCCCCGUCGUUGAUCUUUGCUUUCACUCAAUUUUUCCAGGCGGCCAACGCGUCGCUAAACUUGGUCAUGGCGUGUUUGUUUAUCUUCUUCAUUGCGGGGUCCUCGUCUGGAUCUUCAUAAUCCUUCUCAUUCCGGCCCGGGAACAAGAAUAUCUGGUGAAACUUCUUUAGAAGGGAGCUCCUCAUAUUUUCUAUCUUCUAUAGUUUCUCAUCAUUGAUGGUGGCGGUUGUCCGUAUGAUGCAGCCUAUUUGAUUGCCGUAGCACGCGCGCGCUUCCUCGGGCGCCUUUGGCUCAAAAUUGCCGUCGUCCACCUCUGUGACCACCAGUCUAGUAGUCCUGAGUUUGUUAGGAACCCGUUGCUUCUUUGCGUUCGGUUCUACACCAGCUCCGCUCCCCGAGACAGCACCGGUCUCAGCGCCGCUCUCGAUGCCGGUCUGAAUCUCAGCGCCGGUCUCAGUCUCAGCACCGGUCUGCGUGUCGGUCUCAGUCCCCGAUGCCACUGGUGGGCCCAGCAACAACAUCGGUUGAUCGUCGGUAAGGCUAAAAUAUUCAUCUGCCACCAGGUAGACGUCGUCGCAAUCACCAGAACCCUGUCCUUCAUCGUUGCUAGCCAUGUUUCCUAUCAUUAAAUCUAGUCAAUUAAUUCUAGACCUAAUAAAAUGAAUAAUGACAUAAAAAAGGACUAUUGUUUUGCAGGAAUGUUGACUCCUUCCUGGUGCGGAAAAUCCCGGCACUCGAUAUGUCCUAGUUUGUAGCACAAGUCAUGCCGAAAUUCACGGAAAAUUUUGGCAUGGCCUUUGCUAAAAAGUGGACAAAUCGAGAACCUGAAAUUUGUCGGAACAGAAAUGAAUCAACAUUCCGGCAAAACAUAGGCCACUCAGCAUCAUUCCCUGGAAACAACAAAGCCACUUGGGCACAAUCGAACAACUUCAAUGAAAAGAUAUAACAUGAGCAAACACUAUUGAGGAAUUUGCAUAUAACAUGGCCACUUCAAUGAAAAGAUAUAAUCAACAAUAACGGAAUAUGCAAAUGAACAUCAAUGACAUAUAGCUACUGUUCUGUUUGACCAAGUUUUUGAAAAGAAAAACAAUUCUGUUUUUUGUUUAUAGCUAAAUGCCAUAGCUACUAUUUUUUAUUUAUAGCUAAAUACUUUUGUUUUUUGUCUAAAGCUAAAAGUCUAGGAACUACAUUUUCUCUAACCCUUUUGACCUCACCAGAAUUUUCACAGCAAGACCUUAGUACCUACACCCAAUUUCUUCAAAAAUAUUCAGGUCCAUAGUCCAAAUAAUUCAAAUUUCAUUUGAAUGAAAUUUGGAACAAAUUCAGGUCCGUAGUCAAAAUAUUUUUUUAUAGCUAAGUGUUUUUUGUUUAUACCCUCUGUUAAUUUAAAUCUAAAUGCUACUAUUAUUUAUAUACCCUCUAUUAGUUUAAAGCUAAAUGGAAUUACUGUUUAGGAAUUUUCAUAAAAAUUGCCCUAGCUAAUUUCCUAAAAAAAUUGCAAAUCAUUUUUCCUAAAUGCUAUAAAAUGCCUACUGCCCUAAAAAAAUCUAGGGUUCAUAUGAACACCUAGGGUUCAUAUGAACAUCAACACAGUAUCAACAUAUAUAUAUAUAAUUGCCCUAGCAGAGAGAAAUAGGAGGGUAGGGACAGGAGAGGCAUAGCCUUACGGUCGGCGUUGAGGGCAGGCUCUGGCUCGGGCAGCGGCGGUGAGGUCAAGGGCGGCGGCGGCGAGCUCGAGGGAGGCGACAGUGAGGUCGACGGUGACAGCCUCGGGUGGCGGCUGUGAGGUCGAGGGGGCGGCCUCGGGCGGCGGCCUCGGGCGGCGGCAGUGUGGUCAAAGGCGGCGGGCGGCGGCGGUGUGGUCGAAGGCGGCCUCCGGCGGUGGCGGUGUGGUCGAAGGCGCGCGGCAGGGCAACGGCGGCGAUGAAGCAGUUGGGGGACAGGGGGGAGUAGAGAGGGGGGAAAGGACUUAGCAAAAUUUUGAGCCAGGGCCGCCGGGAUUUGAGUCAAACUAGCAGCAGCGCGUUUUGACGAAACGCGCUAUAGCUAAGAUAGCUAUAGCGUGUUCCAGAGAAAUGCGCUACAGCUAACCCUUUCUGUUUUCUUUCUCUUUUUAUUUUGUUUUCUUUACAUUUUCUUUUUUUCAUUUCUCCUUUUUCUAUUUCUUUCAUUUUCAUUUACUUUUCUACUUAAUUUUCUAUUUAUUUUCCUUUACAUAGCAGUAGCGCUGUAAAGAAGAAACGCGCUGCUACAAUGUUUUUAACAGUAGCGUGCUUCUGGGAGAAGCGCUGCUACUAUUCCUAGCCUACCGGCACCAGUGAGAGAAUUUUAGUAGUAGCGCUUUUUUGUGGAGAAGCGCUACUACUAAAAUAAUGAUUGUAGCGUGGUUUUGCAACAAGCGCUACUACUAAGUAGCGCUAGCGCCGAGUUUUGACCAACGCUACUGCUAUACCUCUGUGUAUAGCAUUUUCCCUAGUAGUGAUACUCUCCUCUCAGUUGACCAACAGCUUGUCUUCCACAUCUAAUUCACGGGAUCUCCGAUCACAAAGAAUGGGUUACCACUGUGGACACCUCAUAUUGUGGGUCUCAUUCCCAUCUCCAUCGAUGCAUUAUCUAUCACAUUACGUGAUAGACCCUUAGUAAAAGGAUCUGCCAGAUUUUUAGACGUUUGGAUAUAAUCCAAUGCAAUAACUCUCGAGUUUUUCAUUUUUCUGACAGACUUUAACCUUCUCUGAACGUGUCUUGAUGACUUCAUGUUAUCCUUUGAGCUGCUCACUUUAGUGAUCACAGUUUGAUUGUCACAGUUCAUCCGGAUACCCGGUACAGGUUUCUCAACUACCGGUAAGUCAUUCAAGAGCCGACGAAGCCAAUCUGCUUCGACCGUAGUUGUAUCUAGUGCUGUGAGUUCUGCUUCCAUUGUUGACCUCGUUAAAAUGGUCUGCUUGCAAGACUUCCAAGAAACAGCGCCACCUCCAUGAGUGAAUACAUAACCGCUCGUGGCCUUUAUCUCAUCAACAUCUGAGAUCCAGUCUGAGUCAAUAUACCCUUCAAGCACCUUUGGAUGCCUAGUGUAGUGAAUUCCAUAAUUUGCAGUGCUUUCAAAUAACGCAAAACUCUCUCUAGAGCUUUCCAAUGCACAUCUCCUGGUUUUGAGACAAACCGGCUCAGUUAGCUAACAGCAAAAGAGAUGUCAGGUCUCGUAGCACUGGCUAAGUACAUAAGCGAGCCAAUAAUGUGUGAAUAUUCCAAUUGGUCUCUAGCAAUUCUUCGAUUCUUUCGAAGCAACACACUAGCAUCAUAUGGUCUUGGAGAGGGCUUGCAGUCACUGUAGCCAAAGCGACUCAAGAUCUUUUCCCCAUAGUGAGACGGAAGCAAUGUAAUCCCACCAUCAUCAUCUCUCAACAACUUGAUGUUCAGAAUGACGUCAGCCACUCCUAAAUCCUUCUUCUCAAAACAGCGAGAUAGGAAAUCCUUGACCUCCUUAAGAACAUUUAGAUUUGUUCCGAAAAUCAGUAUGUCAUCAACAUACAAGCAAAGCAUAACUCCCUCGCCCCCACCAUGGCGAUAGUACACACAUUUGUUAGCUUCGUUCACAACAAAGCCUGCAGCUGUUAAAGUUCUUUCGAACUUCUCAUGCCACUGUUUGGGUGCUUGCUUGAGUCCAUACAAAGACUUCAGCAACUUGCACACUUUCCCUUCCUAACCAUCUAUUACAAACCCAUCUGGUUGUUCCAUAUAAAUUUCCUCAUCCAACUCUCCAUUUAGGAAAGCAGUCUUAACAUCCAUUUGAUGAACGAGAAGACCAUGUGAGGCAGCUAGUGAAAGUUUAACUCGAAUAGUGGUCAGUCGAGCCACAGGUGAGUAAGUAUCAAAGAAGUCUUCACCUUCCUUUUAGGUAUAACCCUUUGCCACGAGCUGAGCCUUGUACUUUUCAAUAGUACCAUCAGGCCUAAGUUUCUUCUUGAAUACCCAUUUGCAUCCUAUAGGUUUGCACCAUAAGGACGAUCAGUUAUCUCCCAAGUUUCAUCCGCCAAGAUGGAAUCCAUCUCGCUACGAACCGCUUCCUUCCAGUAGUCAGCAUCUUCCGAUGCAUAGGCCUCCAAAAUAGAACUGGGAGUGUCAUCUAUGAGAUACACAAGAAAAUCAUCACCCAAGGACUUUGCUGUCCUCUGUCUCUUACUCCUAGUAGGAACUUCAUUGUUCUCCUCCACAGGCCUUUCAAAGUGUUCCAUCGAAAUGGCAGGUUCAGUAAUUGUAACUGGUUCCUGAUUCGAUGAACUAGGCAUCUCCUGAUUAGAUGAGGUAGCCAUAUCCUUCAUGGGAAAGAUAUCUUCAAAGAAAGUCGCAUCAUUCGACUCCAUGAUCGUACUGACAUGCAUGUCAGAUACCUCAGAUUUUACAACCAAGAAUAUAUAGCCAAUGCUAUGAAAAGCAUAUCCCAGGAAAACACAAUCCACAGUCUUUGGUCCAAGCUUCCGCUUCUUUGGAAUUGGAACAUUGACUUUCGCCAAGCAACCCCAUGUUCGCAGAUAAGAGAGUCUUAACCUUUUCUUCUCCCAUUCCUCGAAUGGAGUUAUCUCUUUGUUCUUUGUGGGAACUCGAUUUAGGACAUGACAUGCUGUCAAUAUCGUCUCCCCCCACCAUGCCUUGGAGAGACCCGAUGUGCAUAACAUGGCGUUAACGAAAUCAGUUAGAGUACGGUUCUUUCUUUCGGCCACCCCAUUUGACUGAGGUGAGUAGGGAGGCGUCCUCUCAUGGAUUAUACCAUGUUCCGCACAAAAAGCAUCAAAUUCAUUGGAAAAAUACUCUCCACCACGGUCAGACCUAAGCCUCUUGAUUUUUCGAUCAAGUUGGUUUUCCACUUCAGCUUUAUAGAUCUUGAAAAAGUUCAAAGCCUCAUCCUUAGAUUUCAGAAGAUACACAUGGCAGUAUCUAGUGGAGUCGUCAAUUAACGUCAUGAAAUAUUUCUUUCCACCUUUUGUCAAAACACCAUUCAUUUCACAUAGAUCUGAAUGUAUAAGUUCUAGUGGUGCAAGAUUUCUCGUCUCCGCAGUCACGUGAGACUUACGAGGUUGCUUAGCUUGCACACACACUUGACACUUAGAUCCUUGACAGUGGUGAAACUAGGGAUUAAGUUCAACUUCGCUAGUCGCGACAUGCAACCAAAGUUAACAUGACAAAGACGUGAAUGCCACACAUUUGAUUCACUAUUGUUGCAAAUAUGAUUAACAACUUUAUUGCAAAUGUCUGAUAAGGAUAAACGAAACAGGCCUCCUGACUCAUAGCCUUUACCAACAAAGGUCCCAUACUUGGAUAUUACAAAUUUAUUCGACUCAAAGACAAGCUUAUAGCCAUCUCUACACAGAAGAGAUCCGCUAACAAGAUUUUUAUUGACGGAGGGGACAUAAUGCACGUUCUUCAGCCGCACGAUCUUCCCUGAAGUAAACUUCAGAUCAACCAUGCCAACACCACGAACAGAAGCACUUGAACUGUUGCCCAUCAGCACGGUUGAAGUCCCUGCGGUCUGAUAAGAUGAAAACAUGGAAAUAUCACCGUAUACAUGCACAUUAGCACCCAUGUCAAUCAACCAACCAGGAGAAUGACAUACUGAAAGAAUAGUGGGAAAUAUACCAUACCCAACAUCUUUCAUGUCAAUGUCUCCGAUGACAACAUUAGCGGUCUUGCCGCCUUUCCCAGGAUGACGCUUGUCAUAGCGAUUAGGACAACUAGGAGCCCAAUGAUCAGGAUCUCCAAACACAUGACAAGCACCUUUCUUAUUGUCAUUCUUCUUCUUGAAGUUCAUGUGCUGCACAGCCUUGUUCUUCCCAUCGAACUUUGCUUUACCAUCAAACUUGCCCUUGUUCUUGAACUUGUGGGACUGGAAGUUCUUCUUCUGUACCAGAUUGGCACUAGAUCCUCCCUCAAUACCUCGAGCACAUGUGUCCUUUGCUCUCGCCUUUUCUUCCACAUAAGAGUACCAAUGAGAUCCGGGAUGGAAAACUCCUGUCUCUUAUGCUUCAGUGAGGUAGCAAAGUUCCUCCAUGAAGGAGGAAGCUUAGUGAUGAUACCCCCGGCAACAAACUUGUCCGGUAAGAUACAAUUGAAGUGCUCAAGUUCUCUAGCAAAAGACUGUAUCUCAUGAGCCUGCUCAACCACGGAGCGCUCUUCAGUCAUCCUGUAAUCAUAGAAUUAUUCCAUGAUGUACAGCUCAGUGCCGGCAUCCGAGACCCCAAACUUGGCCUCGAGUGUGUCCCACAUAUCUUUUCAUUGUCAAUUGACGCAUAAGCAUCAACUAUGUUCUCACCAAGAACACUCAAAAGAGCAGCCUUAAACAAGGUAUCCAUUUUCUGGAAAGCUUGUGCCUGUUGGGCAUCUUGCUCUCCUUCGGGUUUGCCAAGAGUGGCAUCAUAGAAACUCAUGGUUUGAAACCAUAAGACUGCUCUCACACGCCACUUCUUAUAGUGGAUACCCUCAAACAUAGGAGGUCUCAUGGAAGCAGCAAAAUCACUCGGGGUAAAUUGCCUAUAAUAAGGUUUUUGGAUUGUUGGAAAUAUGAGCAAUUUACCGAAUGAUUUUAUUAACAAAAAUACUAGAUAAAGCAUGACUAAAAUAGCAAAUAUAAAGCAAGUCAUGCAGUCUGACAGAGAGAAGGUAAACAUCGUCUGCAUAUAUGAACUUGAGCUAAACACAGCUAGAACAGACACUAGAUGAAGUUGCUUAUACGAAACAGAACCUAACAUACGUAGGGCAGAAACUAGAGCCAAGAACUAUAGCAGGACUUCUAACAGAAAGGAGAAGAACACGUACGGCACAGCAGCAGCAGAAGCGCUGGACUUGGGGUUGGUGUCCUUGCCUGCCAUGUCAUCGAGGAGGUCAUGGACGUCAGGGAAGAAGUCGUCGUCGGGGAAGUAGUCGUUGGCGACCGGAUCGUCUGUGAUGAAGCAGCCAGUAGUCGCACUAAGUGCUCCCCAAAAACCUUAUCACCCUUCUCCCGUACAGGACUCAAAAGGUGCGGUCGCGAAAGCCUACUGUCCCGACGUGCGGUGCACGCCACAAGUCGGGAUGAGGAAGACAGCAGCAGCUCAGAGAUGGAACCGAUGGCGAGGGAAGGAGCAGUUCUGGUGCGUCUCUCUGAGAGGAGCGACCUCCCUUUUAUAGGCGCAAGAGAAGGAGGCGAGAGGCUGCGCCGGGAGCUGAAGGGAAUGCGGGAGACGAAACAAACAGGCAGCAGCCGAAGGGGCGCGCCGUUCGGAUUCAGUGUCCAGGCACAGAAAAAAAAUGUUUCAGCUUCCGAGUGACCUUUCGUAUACCCGUAGUGCGUGGCAAAAAUUUAGACAUCGGCUCGGCUCAUUCCCGCAACCCGCGGCGCGGCGCAUCGUGAUGAGGCGUGGUGAGGCGGGCGGCGGAGGAGGAGCACGCGUGGAUGUCCCUCUUGUUCUCAUGCUCAUACAAGUGGGGAAGGAGCCUCCCUUAUAAAGAGGUCCAACUCCCUCUAAACUAGCAAGGUGGGACUAAACUUUAGUUCCACCUCUUGCCUUGCACGAAUGGGCUGCGUGGGCCUCUAGGAUUUAUUAGGAAUUUCUAAAAUUGCUAUUGGGCUAGGCCCAAAUAGACAAAAAUUCCAGCAAUCCCCCACCAGAUCCCAGAGGCACACAAAAUUUGCCUUUGGUUCCAAAACACUGUUUUAUAUACUGGUACAGCAGUGGAGACUGUUAAGUUGAACUUCCACCUAGAACCCUAUGCUACACUAGUAAGCAACUUGAACAGUGGACUGGGCCUUGAACUGCAAGUUUUCUGCAAAUCUAGCUUCACAUAAGGCCUUGACCGAUACGUGGCUACCGUGGGUCUUCCCCGUGGGUGGAGCUUAUGCGUCAUACUCCGUGACCUUUCAUUAGUUUACUAGAGAGAACCCUACUCUCAUAGAUUGCGACGUUUAACAAUCAGACUCAUAUAGGUGCGUUCUUCAAAAGAUGUUCUGCAGGACAACAUCUCUGCUUCAAAAAGCCACUUAGAACACAUUAAGAUAUAAAUCAACCUGCCAUGCAGAUUAGGAGAGUAUUGCAUCUUCAUGGAGUGGUAUUUUAACAGUAUGGAUACUCUCCUCUCAGUUGACCAACAACUUGUCUUCCACAUCUAAUUCACGGGAUCUCCGAUCAUAAAGAAUAGGUUACCACUAUGAACAACUCAUAUUGUGGGUCUCAUUCCCAUCUCCCUCGAUGCAUUAUCUAUCACAUUACGUGAUAGACCGUUAGUAAAAGGAUCUGCCAGAUUUUUAGACGUUUGGAUAGAAUCCAAUGCAAUAACUCUGGAGUUUUUCAUUUUUCUGACAGACUUUAACCUUCUCUGAACGUGUCUUGAUGACUUCAUGUUAUCCUUUGAGUUGCUCACUUUAGUGAUCACAGUUUGAUUGUCACAGUUCAUCCGGAUACCCGGUAUAGGUUUCUCAACUACCGGUAAGUCAUUCAAGAGCCGACGAAGCCAAUCUGCUUCGACCGUACCUGUAUCUAGUGUUGUGAGUUCUGCUUCCAUUGUUGACCUCGUUAAGAUGGUCUGCUUGCAAGACUUCCAAGAAACAGCGCCACCUCCAUGAGUGAAUACAUAACCGCUCGUGGCCUUUAUCUCAUCAGCAUCUGAGAUCCAGUUUGAGUCACUAUACCCUUCAAGCACCUUUGGAUGCCAAGUGUAGUGAAUUCCAUAAUUUGCAGUGCCUUUUAAAUAACGCAAAACUCUCUCUAGAGCUUUCCAAUGCACAUCUCCUGGUUUUGAGACAAACCGGCUUAGUUAGCUAACAGCAAAAGAGAUGUCAGGUCUCGUAGCACUGGCUAAGUACAUAAGCGAGCCAAUAAUCUGUGAAUAUUUCAAUUGGUCUCUAGUGAUUCUUCGAUUCUUUCGAAGCAACACACUAGCAUCAUAUGGUGUUGGAGAGGGCUUGCAGUCACUGUAGCCAAAGCGGCUCAAGAUCUUUUCCACAUAGUGAGAUUGAAGCAAUGUAAUCCCACAAUCAUCAUCUCUCAAAAACUUGAUGUUCAGAAUGACAUCAGCCACUCCUAAAUCCUUCAUCUCAAAACAGCAAGAUAGGAAAUCCUUGACCUCCUUAAGAACAUUCAGAUCUGUUCCGAAAAUCAGUAUGUCAUCAACAUACAAGCAAAGCAUAACUCCCUUGCCCCCACCAUGGCGAUAGUACACACAUUUGUCAGCUUCGUUCACAACAAAGCCUGCAGCUAUUAAAGUUCUUUCGAACUUCUCAUGCCACUGUUUGGGUGCUUGCUUGAGUCCAUACAAAGACUUCAGCAACUUGCACACUUUCCCUUCCUGGCCAUCUAUUACAAACCCCUCUGGUUGUUCCAUAUAAAUUUCCUCAUCCAAAUCUCCAUUUAGGAAAGCAGUCUUAACAUCCAUUUGAUGAACGAGAAGACCAUGUGAGGCAGCUAGUGAAAGUAGACCUCGAAUAGUGGUCAGUCGAGCCACAGGUGAGUAAGUAUCAAAGAAGUCUUCACCUUCCUUUUGGUUAUAACCCUUUGCCACGAGCCGAGCCUUGUACUUUUCAUUAGUACCAUCAGGCCUAAGUUUCUUCUUGAAUACCCAUUUGCAUCCUAUAGGUUUGCACCCAUAAGGACGAUCAGUUAUCUCCCAAGUUUCAUUCGCCAAGAUGGAAUCCAUCUCGCUACGAAUCGCUUCCUUCCAGUAGUCAGCAUCUUCCGAUGCAUAGGCAUCCGAAAUAGAACUGGGAGUGUCAUCUAUGAGAUACACAAGAAAAUCAUCACCAAAGGACUUUGCUGUCCUCUGUCUCUUGCUCCUAGUAGGAACUUCAUUGUUCUCCUCCGCAGGACUUUCAAAGUGUUCCAUCGAAAUGGCAGGUUCAGUAAUUGUAACUGGUUCCUGAUUCGAUGAACUAGGCAUCUCCUAAUUAGAUGAGGUAGCCAUAUCCUUCAUGGGAAUGAUAUCUUCAAAGAAAGUCGCAUCAUUCGACUCCAUGAUCGUACCGACAUGCAUGUCAGAUACCUCAGAUUUUACAACCAAGAAUCUAUAGCCAAUGCUGUGAAAAGCAUAUCCCAGGAAAACACAAUCCACAGUCUUUGGUCCAAGCUUCCGCUUCUUUGGAAUUGGAACAUUGACUUUCGCCAAGCAACCGCAUGUUCGCAGAUAAGAGAGUUUUAACCUUUUCUUCUCCCAUUCCUCGAAUGGAGUUAUCUCUUUGUUCUUUGUGGGGACUCGAUUUAGGACAUGACAUGCUGUCAAUAUCGCCUCCCCCCACCAUGCCUUGGAGAGACCCGAUGUGGCGUUAACCAAAUCAGUUAGAGUACGGUUCUUUCUUUCGGCCACCCCAUUUGACUGAGGUGAGUAGGGAGGCGUCCCCUCAUGGAUUAUACCAUGUUCUGCACAAAAAGCAUCAAAUUCAUUGGAAAAAUACUCUCCACCACGGUCAGACCUAAGCCUCUUGAUUUUUCGAUCAAGUUGGUUUUCCACUUCAGCUUUAUAGAUCUUGAAAAAGUUCAAAGCCUCAUCCUUACAUUUCAGAAGAUACACAUGGCAGUAUCUAGUGGAGUCAUUAAUUAACGUCAUGCAAUAUUUCUUUCCACCUUUUGUCAAAACACCAUUCAUUUCACAUAGAUCUGAAUGUAUAAGUUCUAGUGGUGCAAGAUUUCUCGUCUCCGUAGUCACGUGAGACUUACGAGGUUGCUUAGCUUGCACACACACUUGACACUUAGAUCCUUGACAGUGGUGAAACUAGGGAUUAAGUUCAACUUCGCUAGUCGCGACAUGCAACCAAAGUUAACAUGACAAAGACGUGAAUGCCACACAUUUGAUUCACUAUUGUUGCAAAUAUGAUUAACAACUUUAUUGCAAACGUCUGAUAAGGAUAAACGAAACAGGCCUCCUGACUCAUAGCCUUUACCAACAAAGGUCCCAUACUUGGAUAUUACAAAUUUAUUCGACUCAAAGACAAGCUUAUAGCCAUCUCUACACAGAAGAGAUCCGCUAACAAGAUUUUUAUUGACGGAGGGGACAUAAUGCACGUUCUUCAGCCGCACGAUCUUCCCUGAAGUAAACUUCAGAUCAACCAUGCCAACACCACGAACAGAAGCACUUGAACUGUUGCCCAUCAGCACGGUUGAAGUCCCUGCGGUCUGAUAAGAUGAAAACAUGGAAAUAUCACCGCAUACAUGCACAUUAGCACCCAUGUCAAUCAACCAACCAGGAGAAUGACAUACUGAAAGAAUAGUGGGAAAUAUACCAUACCCAGCAUCUUUCAUGUCAAUGUCUCCGAUGACAACAUUAGCGGUCUUGCCGCCUUUCCCAGGAUGACGCUUGUCAUAGCGAUUAGGACAACUAGGAGCCCAAUGAUCAGGAUCUCCAAACACAUGACAAGCACCUUUCUUAUUGUCAUUCUUCUUCUUGAAGUUCAUGUGCUGCACAGCCUUGUUCUUCCCAUCGAACUUUGCUUUACCAUCAAACUUGCCCUUGUUCUUGAACUUGUGGGACUGGAAGUUCUUCUUCUGUACCAGAUUGGCACUAGAUCCUCCCUCAAUACCUCGAGCACGUGUGUCCUUUGCUCUCGCCUUUUCUUCCACAUAAGAGUACCAAUGAGAUCCGGGAUGGAAAACUCCUGUCUCUUAUGCUUCAGUAAGGUAGCAAAGUUCCUCCAUGAAGGAGGAAGCUUAGUGAUGAUACCCCCGGCAACAAACUUGUCCGGUAAGAUACAAUUGAAGUGCUCAAGUUCUCUAGCAAAAGACUGUAUCUCAUGAGCCUGCUCAACCACGGAGCGCUCUUCAGUCAUCCUGUAAUCAUAGAAUUAUUCCAUGAUGUACAGCUCAGUGCCGGCAUCCGAGACCCCAAACUUGGCCUCGAGUGUGUCCCACAUAUCUUUUCAUUGUCAAUUGAAGCAUAAGCAUCAACUAUGUUCUCACCAAGAACACUCAAAAGAGCAGCCUUAAACAAGGUAUCCAUUUUCUGGAAAGCUUGUGCCUGUUGGGCAUCUUGCUCUCCUUCAGGUUUGCCAAGAGUGGCAUCAUAGAAACUCAUGGUUUGAAACCAUAAGACUGCUCUCACACGCCACUUCUUAUAGUGGAUACCCUCAAACAUAGGAGGUCUCAUGGAAGCAGCAAAAUCACUCGGGGUAAAUUGCCUAUAAUAAGGUUUUUGGAUUGUUGGAAAUAUGAGCAAUUUACCGAAUGAUUUUAUUAACAAAAAUACUAGAUAAAGCAUGACUAAAAUAGCAAAUAUAAAGCAAGUCAUGUAGUCUGACAGAGAGAAGGUAAACAUCGUCUGCAUAUAUGAACUUGAGCUAAACACAGCUAGAACAGACACUAGAUGAAGUUGCUUAUACGAAACAGAACCUAACAUACGUAGGGCAGAAACUAGAGCCAAGAACUAUAGCAGGACUUCUAACAGAAAGGAGAAGAACACGUACGGCACAGCAGCAGCAGAAGCGCUGGACUUGGGGUUGGUGUCCUCGCCUGCCAUGUCAUCGAGGAGGUCAUGGACGUCAGGGAAGAAGUCGUCGUCGGGGAAGUAGUCGUCGGCGACCGGAUCGUCUGUGAUGAAGCAGCCAGUAGUCGCACUAAGCGCUCCCCAAAAACCUUAUCACCCUUCUCCCGUACAGGACUCAAAAGGGGCGGUCGCGAAAGCCUACUGUCCCGACGUGCGGUGCACGCCACAAGUCGGGAUGAGGAAGACAGCAGCAGCUCAGAGAUGGAACCGAUGGCGAGGGAAGGAGCAGUUCUGGUGCGUCUCUCUGAGAGGAGCGACCUCCCUUUUAUAGGCGCAAGAGAAGGAGGCGAGAGGCUGCGCCGGGAGCUGAAGGGAAUGCGGGAGACGAAACGAACAGGCAGCAGCCGAAGGGGCGCGCCGUUCGGAUUCAGUGUCCAGGCACAGAAAAAAAAUGUUUCAGCUUCCGAGUGACCUUUCGUAUACCCGUAGUGCGUGGCAAAAAUUUAGACAUCGGCUCGGCUCAUUCCCGCAACCCGCGGCGCGGCGCAUCGUGAUGAGGCGUGGUGAGGCGGGCGGCGGAGGAGGAGCACGCGUGGAUGUCCCUCUUGUUCUCAUGCUCAUACAAGUGGGGAAGGAGCCUCCCUUAUAAAGAGGUCCAACUCCCUCUAAACUAGCAAGGUGGGACUAAACUUUAGUUCCACCUCUUGCCUUGCACGAAUGGGCUGCGUGGGCCUCUAGGAUUUAUUAGGAAUUUCUAAAAUUGCUAUUGGGCUAGGCCCAAAUAGACAAAAAUUCCAGCAAUCCCCCACCAGAUCCCAGAGGCACACAAAAUUUGCCUUUGGUUCCAAAACACUGUUUUAUAUACUGGUACAGCAGUGGAGACUGUUAAGUUGAACUUCCACCUAGAACCCUAUGCUACACUAGUAAGCAACUUGAACAGUGGACUGGGCCUUGAACUGCAAGUUUUCUGCAAAUCUAGCUUCACAUAAGGCCUUGACCGAUACGUGGCUACCGUGGGUCUUCCCCGUGGGUGGAGCUUAUGCGUCAUACUCCGUGACCUUUCAUUAGUUUACUAGAGAGAACCCUACUCUCAUAGAUUGCGACGUUUAACAAUCAGACUCAUAUAGGUGCGUUCUUCAAAAGAUGUUCUGCAGGACAACAUCUCUGCUUCAAAAAGCCACUUAGAACACAUUAAGAUAUAAAUCAACCUGCCAUGCAGAUUAGGAGAGUAUUGCAUCUUCAUGGAGUGGUAUUUUAACAGUAUGGAUACUCUCCUCUCAGUUGACCAACAACUUGUCUUCCACAUCUAAUUCACGGGAUCUCCGAUCAUAAAGAAUAGGUUACCACUAUGAACAACUCAUAUUGUGGGUCUCAUUCCCAUCUCCCUCGAUGCAUUAUCUAUCACAUUACGUGAUAGACCCUUAGUAAAAGGAUCUGCCAGAUUUUUAGACGUUUGGAUAUAAUCCAAUGCAAUAACUCUGGAGUUUUUCAUUUUUCUGACAGACUUUAACCUUCUCUGAACGUGUCUUGAUGACUUCAUGUUAUCCUUUGAGUUGCUCACUUUAGUGAUCACAGUUUGAUUGUCACAGUUCAUCCGGAUACCCGGUACAGGUUUCUCAACUACCGGUAAGUCAUUCAAGAGCCGACGAAGCCAAUCUGCUUCGACCGUACCUGUAUCUAGUGUUGUGAGUUCUGCUUCCAUUGUUGACCUCAUUAAGAUGGUCUGCUUGCAAGACUUCCAAGAAACAGCGCCACCUCCAUGAGUGAAUACAUAACCGCUCGUGGCCUUUAUCUCAUCAGCAUCUGAGAUCCAGUUUGAGUCACUAUACCCUUCAAGCACCUUUGGAUGCCAAGUGUAGUGAAUUCCAUAAUUUGCAGUGCCUUUUAAAUAACGCAAAACUCUCUCUAGAGCUUUCCAAUGCACAUCUCCUGGUUUUGAGACAAACCGGCUUAGUUAGCUAAUAGCAAAAGAGAUGUCAGGUCUCGUAGCACUGGCUAAGUACAUAAGCGAGCCAAUAAUCUGUGAAUAUUUCAAUUGGUCUCUAGUGAUUCUUCGAUUCUUUCGAAGCAACACACUAGCAUCAUAUGGUCUUGGAGAGGGCUUGCAGUCACUGUAGCCAAAGCGGCUCAAGAUCUUUUCCACAUAGUGAGAUUGAAGCAAUGUAAUCCCACCAUCAUCAUCUCUCAACAACUUGAUGUUCAGAAUGACAUCAGCCACUCCUAAAUCCUUCAUCUCAAAACAGCAAGAUAGGAAAUCCUUGACCUCCUUAAGAACAUUCAGAUUUGUUCCGAAAAUCAGUAUGUCAUCAACAUACAAGCAAAGCAUAACUCCCUUGCCCCCACCAUGGCGAUAGUACACACAUUUGUCAGCUUCGUUCACAACAAAGCCUGCAGCUAUUAAAGUUCUUUCGAACUUCUCAUGCCACUGUUUGGGUGCUUGCUUGAGUCCAUACAAAGACUUCAGCAACUUGCACACUUUCCCUUCCUGGCCAUCUAUUACAAACCCCUCUGGUUGUUCCAUAUAAAUUUCCUCAUCCAAAUCUCCAUUUAGGAAAGCAGUCUUAACAUCCAUUUGAUGAACGAGAAGACCAUGUGAGGCAGCUAGUGAAAGUAGACCUCGAAUAGUGGUCAGUCGAGCCACAGGUGAGUAAGUAUCAAAGAAAUCUUCACCUUCCUUUUGGUUAUAACCCUUUGCCACGAGCCGAGCCUUGUACUUUUCAUUAGUACCAUCAGGCCUAAGUUUCUUCUUGAAUACCCAUUUGCAUCCUAUAGGUUUGCACCCAUAAGGACGAUCAGUUAUCUCCCAAGUUUCAUUCGCCAAGAUGGAAUCCAUCUCGCUACGAAUCGCUUCCUUCCAGUAGUCAGCAUCUUCCGAUGCAUAGGCAUCCGAAAUAGAACUGGGAGUGUCAUCUAUGAGAUACACAAGAAAAUCAUCACCAAAGGACUUUGCUGUCCUCUGUCUCUUGCUCCUAGUAGGAACUUCAUUGUUCUCCUCCGCAGGACUUUCAAAGUGUUCCAUCGAAAUGGCAGGUUCAGUAAUUGUAACUGGUUCCUGAUUCGAUGAACUAGGCAUCUCCUAAUUAGAUGAGGUAGCCAUAUCCUUCAUGGGAAUGAUAUCUUCAAAGAAAGUCGCAUCAUUCGACUCCAUGAUCGUACCGACAUGCAUGUCAGAUACCUCAGAUUUUACAACCAAGAAUCUAUAGCCAAUGCUGUGAAAAGCAUAUCCCAGGAAAACACAAUCCACAGUCUUUGGUCCAAGCUUCCGCUUCUUUGGAAUUGGAACAUUGACUUUCGCCAAGCAACCCCAUGUUCGCAGAUAAGAGAGUUUUAACCUUUUCUUCUCCCAUUCCUCGAAUGGAGUUAUCUCUUUGUUCUUUGUGGGGACUCGAUUUAGGACAUGACAUGCUGUCAAUAUCGCCUCCCCCCACCAUGCCUUGGAGAGACCCGAUGUGGCGUUAACCAAAUCAGUUAGAGUACGGUUCUUUCUUUCGGCCACCCCAUUUGACUGAGGUGAGUAGGGAGGCGUCCUCUCAUGGAUUAUACCAUGUUCUGCACAAAAAGCAUCAAAUUCAUUGGAAAAAUACUCUCCACCACAGUCAGACCUAAGCCUCUUGAUUUUUCGAUCAAGUUGGUUUUCCACUUCAGCUUUAUAGAUCUUGAAAAAGUUCAAAGCCUCAUCCUUACAUUUCAGAAGAUACACAUGGCAGUAUCUAGUGGAGUCAUUAAUUAACGUCAUGCAAUAUUUCUUUCCACCUUUUGUCAAAACACCAUUCAUUUCACAUAGAUCUGAAUGUAUAAGUUCUAGUGGUGCAAGAUUUCUCGUCUCCGCAGUCACGUGAGACUUACGAGGUUGCUUAGCUUGCACACACACUUGACACUUAGAUCCUUGACAGUGGUGAAACCAGGGAUUAAGUUCAACUUCGCUAGUCGCGACAUGCAACCAAAGUUAACAUGACAAAGACGUGAAUGCCACACAUUUGAUUCACUAUUGUUGCAAAUAUGAUUAACAACUUUAUUGCAAACGUCUGAUAAGGAUAAACGAAACAGGCCUCCUGACUCAUAGCCUUUACCAACAAAGGUCCCAUACUUGGAUAUUACAAAUUUAUUCGACUCAAAGACAAGCUUAUAGCCAUCUCUACACAGAAGAGAUCCGCUAACAAGAUUUUUAUUGACGGAGGGGACAUAAUGCAUGUUCUUCAGCCGCACGAUCUUCCCUGAAGUAAACUUCAGAUCAACCAUGCCAACACCACGAACAGAAGCACUUGAACUGUUGCCCAUCAGCACGGUUGAAGUCCCUGCGGUCUGAUAAGAUGAAAACAUGGAAAUAUCACCGCAUACAUGCACAUUAGCACCCAUGUCAAUCAACCAACCAGGAGAAUGACAUACUGAAAGAAUAGUGGGAAAUAUACCAUACCCAGCAUCUUUCAUGUCAAUGUGUCCGAUGACAACAUUAGCGGUCUUGCCGCCUUUCCCAGGAUGACGCUUGUCAUAGCGAUUAGGACAACUAGGAGCCCAAUGAUCAGGAUCUCCAAACACAUGACAAGCACCUUUCUUCUUGUCAUUCUUCUUCUUGAAGUUCAUGUGCUGCACAGCCUUGUUCUUCCCAUCGAACUUUGCUUUACCAUCAAACUUGCCCUUGUUCUUGAACUUGUGGGACUGAAAGUUCUUCUUCUGUACCAGAUUGGCACUAGAUCCUCCCUCAAUACCUCGGGCACGUGUGUCCUUUGCUCUCGCCUUUUCUUCCACAUAAGAGUACCAAUGAGAUCCGGGACGGAAAACUCCUGUCUCUUAUGCUUCAGUAAGGUAGCAAAGUUCCUCCAUGAAGGAGGAAGCUUAGUGAUGAUACCCCCGGCAACAAACUUGUCCGGUAAGAUACAAUUGAAGUUCUCAAGUUCUCUAGCAAAAGACUGUAUCUCAUGAGCCUGCUCAACCAUGGAGCGCUCUUCAGUCAUCCUGUAAUCAUAGAAUUAUUCCAUGAUGUACAGCUCAGUGCCGGCAUCCGAGACCCCAAACUUGGCCUCGAGUGUGUCCCACAUAUCUUUUCAUUGUCAAUUGACGCAUAAGCAUCAACUAUGUUCUCACCAAGAACACUCAAAAGAGCAGCCUUAAACAAGGUAUCCAUUUUCUGGAAAUCUUGUGCCUGUUGGGCAUCUUGCUCUCCUUCAGGUUUGCCAAGAGUGGCGUCAUAGAAACUCAUGGUUUGAAACCAUAAGACUGCUCUCACACGCCACCUCUUAUAGUGAAUACCCUCAAACAUAGGAGGUCUCAUGGAAGCAGCAAAAUCACUCAGGGUAAAUUGCCUAUAAUAAGGUUUUUGGAUUGUUGGAAAUAUGAGCAAUUUACCGAAUGAUUUUAUUAACAAAAAUACUAGAUAAAGCAUGACUAAAAUAGCAAAUAUAAAGCAAGUCAUGCAGUCUGAGAGAUAGAAGGUAAACAUCGUCUGCAUAUAUGAACUUGAGCUAAACACAUCUAGAACAGACACUAGAUGAAGUUGCUUAUACGAAACAGAACCUAACAUACGUAGGGCAAAAUCUAGAGCCAAGAACUGUAGCAGGACUUCUAACAGAAAGGAGAAGAACACGUACGGCACAGCAGCAGCAGAAGCGCUGGACUUGGGUUGCUGUCCUCGCCUGCCAUGUCAUCGAGGAGGUCAUGGACGUCAGGGAAGAAGUCGUCGUCGGCGGGGAAGUAGUCGUCGGCGACCGGAUCGUCUGUGAUGAAGCAGCCAGUAGUCGCACUGAGCACUCCCCAAAAACCUUAUCACCCUUCUCUCGUACAAGACUCAAAAGGUGCGGUCGCGAAAGCCUACUGUCCCGACGUGCGGUGCACGCCGCAAGUCGGGAUGAGGAAGACAGCAGCAGCUCAGAGAUGGAACCGAUGGCGAGGGAAGGAGCAGUUCUGGUGCGUCUCUCUGAGAGGAGCGACCUCCCUUUUAUAGGCGCAAGAGAAGGAGGCGAGAGGCUGCGCCGAGAGCUGAAGGGAAUGCGGGAGACGAAACGAACAGGCAGCAGCCGAAGGGGCGCACCAUUCGGAUUCAGUGUCCAGGCACAGAAAAAAAAUGUUUCAGCUUUCGAGUGACCUUUCGUAUACCCGUAGUGCGUGGCAAAAAUUUAGACAUCGGCUCGGCUCAUUCCCGCAACCCGCGGCGCGGCGCAUCGUGACGAGGCGUGGUGAGGCAGGCGGCGGAGGAGGAGCGCACGUGGAUGUCCCUCUUGUUCUCAUGCUCAUACAAGUGGGGAAGGAGCCUCCCUUAUAAAGAGGUCCAACUCCCUCUAAACUAGCAAGGUGGGACUAAACUUUAGUUCCACCUCUUGCCUUGCACGAAUGGGCUGCAUGGGCCUCUAGGAUUUAUUAGGAAUUUCUAAAAUUGCUAUUGGGCUAGGCCCAAAUAGACAAAAAUUCCAGCAAUCCCCCACCAGAUCCCAGAGGCACAAAAAAUUUGCCUUUGGUUCCAAAACACUGUUUUAUAUACUGGUACAGCAGUGGAGACUGUUAAGUUGAACUUCCACCUAGAACCCUAUGCUACACUAGUAAGCAACUUGAACAGUGGACUGGGCCUUGAACUGCAAGUUUUCUGCAAAUCUAGCUUCACAUAAAGCCUUGACCGAUACGUGGCUACCGUGGGUCUUCCCCGCGGGUGGAGCUUAUGCGUCAUACUCCAUGACCUUUCAUUAGUUUACUAGAGAGAACCCUACUCUCAUAGAUUGCGACGUUUAACAAUCAGACUCAUAUAGGUGCGUUCUUCAAAAGAUGUUCUGCAGGACAACAUCUCUGCUUCAAAAAGCCACUUAGAACACAUUAAGAUAUAAAUCAACCUGCCAUGCAGAUUAGGAGAGUAUUGCAUCUUCAUGGAGUGGUAUUUUAACAGUAUGGAUACUCUCCUCUCAGUUGACUAACAGCUUGUCUUCCACAUCUAAUUCACGGGAUCUCCGAUCAUAAAGAAUAGAUUACCACUGUGAACAACUCAUAUUGUGGGUCUCAUUCCCAUCUCCCUCGAUGCAUUAUCUAUCACAUUACGUGAUAGACCCUUAGUAAAAGGAUCUGCCAGAUUUUUAGACGUUUGGAUAUGAUCCAAUGCAAUAACUCUGGAGUUUUUCAUUUUUCUGACAGACUAACCUUCUCUGAACGUGUCUUGAUGACUUCAUGUUAUCCUUUGAGUUGCUCACUUUAGUGAUCACAGUUUGAUUGUCACAGUUCAUCCGGAUACCCGAUACAGGUUUCUCAACUACCGGUAAGUCAUUCAAGAGCAGACGAAGCCAAUCCGCUUCAACCGUACAUGUAUCUAGUGUUGUGAGUUCUACUUCCAUUGUUGACCUCGUUAGAUGGUCUGCUUGCAAGACUUCCAAGAAACAGCGCCACCUCCAUGAGUGAAUACAUAACCGCUCGUGGCCUUUAUCUCAUCAACAUCUGAGAUCCAGUUUGAGUUACUAUACCCUUCAAGCACCUUUGGAUGCCCAGUGUAGUGAAUUCCAUAAUUUGCAGUGCCUUUCAAAUAACGCAAAACUCUCUCUAGAGCUUUCCAAUGCACAUCUCCUGGUUUUGAGACAAACCGGCUUAGUUAGCUAACAGCAAAAGAGAUGUCAGGUCUCAUAGCACUGGCUAAGUACAUAAGCGAGCCAAUAAUCUGUGAAUAUUUCAAUUGGUCUCUAGCGAUUCUUCGAUUCUUUCGAAGCAACACACUAGCAUCAUAUGGUGUUGGAGAGGGCUUGCAGUCACUAUAGCCAAAGCGGCUCAAGAUCUUUUCCACAUAGUGAGAUUGAAGCAAUGUAAUCCCACCAUCAUCAUCUCUCAACAACUUGAUGUUCAGAAUGAGAUCAGCCACUCCUAAAUCCUUCAUCUCAAAACAGCAAGAUAGGAAAUCCUUGACCUCCUUAAGAACAUUCAGAUUUGUUCCGAAAAUCAGUAUGUCAUCAACAUACAAGCAAAGCAUAACUCCCUCGCCCCCACCAUGGCGAUAGUACACACAUUUGUCAGCUUCGUUCACAACAAAGCCUGCAGCUAUUAAAGUUCUUUCGAACUUCUCAUGCCACUGUUUGGGUGCUUGCUUGAGUCCAUACAAAGACUUCAGCAACUUGCACACUUUCCCUUCCUGGCCAUCUAUUACAAACCCCUCUGGUUGUUCCAUAUAAAUUUCCUCAUCCAAAUCUCCAUUUAGGAAAGCAGUCUUAACAUCCAUUUGAUGAACGAGAAGACCAUGUGAGGUAGCUAGUGAAAGUAGACCUCGAAUAGUGGUCAGUCGAGCCACAGGUGAGUAAGUAUCAAAGAAGUCUUCACCUUCCUUUUGGGUAUAACCCUUUUCCAUGAGCCAAGCCUUGUACUUUUCAUUAGUACCAUCAGGCCUAAGUUUCUUCUUGAAUACCCAUUUGCAUCCUAUAGGUUUGCACCCAUAAGGACGAUCAGUUAUCUCCCAAGUUUCAUUCGCCAAGAUGGAGUCCAUCUCGCUACGAAUCGCUUCCUUCCAGUAGUCAGCAUCUUCCGAUGCAUAGGCAUCCGAAAUAGAACUGGGAGUGUCAUCUAUGAGAUACACAAGAAAAUCAUCAGCAAAGGACUUUGCUGUCCUCUGUCUCUUGCUCCUAGUAGGAACUUCAUUGUUCUCCUCCGCAGGACUUUCAAAGUGUUCCAUCGAAAUGGCAGGUUCAGUAAUUGUAACUGGUUCCUGAUUCGAUGAACUAGGCAUCUCCUAAUUAGAUGAGGUAGCCAUAUCCUUCAUGGGAAUGAUAUCUUCAAAGAAAGUCGCAUCAUUCGACUCCAUGAUCGUACCGACAUGCAUGUCAGAUACCUCAGAUUUUACAACCAAGAAUCUAUAGCCAAUGCUGUGAAAAGCAUAUCCCAGGAAAACACAAUCAACAGUCUUUGGUCCAAGCUUCCGCUUCUUUGGAAUUGGAACAUUGACUUUCGCCAAGCAACCCCAUGUUCGCAGAUAAGAGAGUUUUAACCUUUUCUUCUCCCAUUCCUCGAAUGGAGUUAUCUCUUUGUUCUUUGUGGGGACUCGAUUUAGGACAUGACAUGCUGUCAAUAUCGCCUCCCCCCACCAUGCCUUGGAGAGACCCGAUGUGGCGUUAACCAAAUCAGUUAGAGUACGGUUCUUUCUUUCGGCCACCCCAUUUGACUGAGGUGAGUAGGGAUGCGUCCUCUCAUGGAUUAUACCUUGUUCUGCACAAAAAGCAUCAAAUUCAUUGGAAAAAUACUCUCCACCACGGUCAGACCUAAGCCUCUUGAUUUUUCGAUCAAGUUGGUUUUCCACUUCAGCUUUAUAGAUCUUGAAAAAGUUCAAAUCCUCAUCCUUACAUUUCAGAAGAUACACAUGGCAGUAUCUAGUGGAGUCGUUAAUUAACGUCAUGAAAUAUUUCUUUCCACGUUUUGUCAAAACACCAUUCAUUUCACAUAGAUCUGAAUGUAUAAGUUCUAGUGGUGCAAGAUUUCUCGUCUCCGCAGUCAUGUGAGACUUACGAGGUUGCUUAGCUUGCACACACACUUGACACUUAGAUCCCUUGACAGUGGUGAAACUAGGGAUUAAGUUCAACUUCGCUAGCCGCGACAUGCAACCAAAGUUAACAUGACAAAGACGUGAAUGCCACACAUUUGAUUCACUAUUGUUGCAAAUAUGAUUAACAACUUUAUUGCAAAUGUCUGAUAAGGAUAAACGAAACAGGCUUCCUGACUCAUAGCCUUUGCCAACAAAAGUUCCAUACUGGGAUAUUACAAAUUUAUUCGACUCAAAUACAAGCUUAUAGCCAUCUCUACACAGAAGAGAUCCGCUAACAAGAUUGUUAUUGACGGAGGGGACAUAAUGCACGUUCUUCAGCCGCACGAUCUUCCCCGAAGUAAACUUCAGAUCGACCAUGCCAACACCACGAACAGAAGCACUUGAACCGUUGCCCAUCAGCACGGUUGAAGUCCCUGCGGUCUGAUCAGAUGAAAACAUGGAAAUAUCACUGCAUACAUGCACAUUAGCACCCAUGUCAAUCAACCAAUCAGGAGAAUGACAUACUGAAAGAAUAGUGGGAAAUAUACCAUACCCAGCAUCUUUCAUGUCAAUGUCUCCGAUGACAACAUUAGCGGUCUUGCCGCCUUUCCCAGGAUGACGCUUGUCAUAGAGAUUAGGACAAAUAGGAGCCCAAUGAUCAGGCUCUCCACACACAUGACAAGCACCUUUCUUCUUGUCAUUCUUCUUCUUGAAGUUCGUGUGCUGCACAGCCUUGUUCUUCCCAUCGAACUUUGCUUUACCAUCAAACUUGCCCUUGUUCUAGAACUUGUGGGACUGGAAGUUCUUCUUCUGUACUAGAUUGGCACUAGAUCCUCCCUCAAUACCUCGAGCACGUGUGUCCUUUGCUCUCGCCUUUUCUUCCACAUCAAGAGUACCAAUGAGUUCCGGGACGGAAAACUCCUGUCUCUUAUGCUUCAGUAAGGUAGCAAAGUUCCUCCACGAAGGAGGAAGCUUAGUGAUGAUACCCCCGGCAACAAACUUGUCCGGUAAGAUACAAUUGAAGUGCUCAAGUUCUCUAGCAAAGGACUGUAUCUCAUGAUCCUGCUCAACCACGGAGCGCUCUUCAGUCAUCAUGUAAUCAUAGAAUUGCUCCAUGAUGUACAAUUCAGUGCCGGCAUCCGAGACCCCAAACUUGGCCUCAAGUGCGUCCCACAUAUCUUUUCUAUUGUCAAUUGACGCAUAAGCAUCAACUAUGUUCUCACCAAGAACACUCAAAAGAGCAGCCUUAAACAAGGUAUCCAUUUUCAGAAAAGCUUGUGCCUGUUGGGCAUCUUGCUCUCCUUCAGGUUUGCCAAGAGUGGCGUCAUAGCAACUCAUGGUUUGAAACCAUAAGACUGCUCUCACGCGCCACCUCUUAUAGUGGAUACCCUCAAACAUACGAGCUCUCAUGGAAGCAGCAAAACCACUCGGGGUAAAUUGCCUAUAAUAAGGUUUUUGGAUUGUUGGAAAUAUGAGCAAUUUACCGAAUGAUUUUAUUAACAAAAAUACUAGAUAAAGCAUGACUAAAAUAGCAAAUAUAAAACAAGUCAUGCAGUCUGACAGAGAGAAGGUAAACAUCGUCUGCAUAUAUGAACUUGAGCUAAACACAUCUAGAACAUACACUAGAUGAAGUUGCUUAUACGAAACAGAACCUAACAUACGUAGGGCAGAAACUAGAGCCAAGAACUGUAGCAGGACUUCUAACAGAAAGGAGAAGAACACGUACGGCAUAGCAGCAGCAGAAGCGCUGGACUUCGGGUCGGUGUCCUCGCCUGCCAUGUCGUCGAGGAGGUCGUGGACGUCGGGGAAGAAGUCGUCGUCGGGGAAGUAGUCGUCGGCGACCGGAUCGUCCGUGAUGAAGCAGCCAGUAGUCGCGCUGAGCGCUCCCCAAAAACCUUAUCACCCUUCUCCCGUACAGGACUCAAAAGGUGCGGUCUCGGAGGCCUACUAUCCCGACGUGCGGUGCACGCCGCAAGUCGGGAUGAGGAAGACAGCAGCAGCUCAGAGAUGGAACCGAUGGCGAGGGAAGGAGCAGUUCUGGUGCGUCUCUCUGAGAGGAGCGACCUCCCUUUUAUAGGCGCAAGAGAAGGAGGCGAGAGGCUGCGCCGGGAGCUGAAGGGAAUGCGGGAGACGAAACGAACAUGCAGCAGCCGAAGGGGCGCGCCUUCGGAUUCAGUGUCCAGGCACAGAAAAAAAUGUUUCAGCUUCCGAGUGACCUUUCGUAUACCCGUAGUGCGUGGCAAAAAUUUAGACAUCGGCUCGGCUCAUUCCCGCAACCCGCGGCGCGGCAUGACGAGGCGUGGUGAGGCGGGCGGCGGAGGAGGAGCGCGCGUGGAUGUCCCUCUUGUUCUCAUGCUCAUACAAGUGGAGAAGGAGCCUCCCUUAUAAAGAGGUCCAACUCCCUCUAAACUAGCAAGGUGGGACUAAACUUUAGUUCCACCUCUUGCCUUGCACGAAUGGGCUGCGUGGUCCUCUAGGAUUUAUUAGGAAUUUCUGAAACUGCUAUUGUGCUAGGCCCAAAUAGACAAAAAUUCCAGCAGUUUGUGUUCUUCAGGUCUCCACUUGCCAUGAUAUUGCGGCUGGGCUUCGGGUAUGUGUUACCACUGAUACAUCAUUCCAAACUACUAAUGAAUUGGUCUCUGAUGUCUUCUUCUCAAUUUUAACUAGGGCCUGCUUCUGUUUGCACCAAUUCGAGAUAGUGGUUGUGGAAUGCAGCAGCCAAGACAACAAGGUCAGGCUCGGCUUAGGUAUGAUGACAAACAAAAUUAGAUUCGGAUGGUUCCUUACAUCUUCCUCUCAGAAUCAAGAGUGAUAAUACUUUUUUGGUGCUCCGGCUUCUGCAGUUUCUGAAGAACUGAUUCGUUGUUCAGGCAUUUCAUGCAUUUGGAGUUCACAGGUAUCUAAGUUUCUCUGACUGUGUUUUCAAAUAAUUGAUACUUGACAUUAGGAUUUUUGGCUGAACAAAUCAUCUUAGACAUAAGUAGAACCCGGCAAAUUGUGAGACAGAGCUAAUUGAUACACAGUUUAGAAAAUAGAACUGAACAAUUCUUGGUAGUCACUAUUGAUUAGCUAUGUGCGUACCUUAAGUUCCUUACUACUUAUUUUAAUUGUUAGUACUUGAAGGUUUGAAUAAUUAUUAUUACCAAGUUACAUGUUGAUCACUACUUAUUAUGAAAAUGUAUGUCCAUGGUUUAAAGGAGCUUUAUUGUUUCAGUCUAUACUAAGUUAUUUGUCGGUUAUACUGGAGCUUAUAUUGUUCCCUCUUUGAUCUAGACAUCAAAUAUUCUAAGCUUCAUUUUUGUGAGCAAACGGUUCUAUGCUUCCUUUUUGUGAACAUUGCUCCAUAAAUAGUAGUGGCAUUUACUAUGCAGAUGAUACUGACAAAUUAUCAUACAAGUCCGCAUUAAUAUUCAGUCAGUAGGUUAUUGAAGAAGGCCGGAGAUCGCGUGGAGCACCAACAAUAACCUCAAGUAGAUGCAGCAGAGACAUGUGAUGAACUAUCAUAUGUUUCCUAAUCUGAAUGUUUGCUCCAAUCGCUUGAUUGUUUGAUCUGGUUUGUUGUGACAAUACAAUGAUUUUCUAUGUUCUUUUUGUGGUGCAAUCUCCGUUGAUUUGGAAAGAUGGGGACUUUCUGUUGAGCUAUUUCGAUCGGCCAUUGGCCAUAACAUUCCAAAUUCCUUAUUUUGUUUCCUCUUUUUCGCGGCUUCAUUUUACGUGUCUCACUAAAGGUGGGCAUGACUUGAAAAGGGAGGCAAACAAAACUGCCAAGAUGCAUCUCUUUUGCAGCAGAAGAAGAGGCACUGAUGAGAGGUGGAAAAGGAGGGGCAAAGAAGGAAGCCAUGGGCAUGUGCCGCCUACCGACCAUGAAUAUCAACAAUGACAAUGACGACUAGCUUGUGUGCGUGUGAGAGAGGGAGGGAGAGGGAGUCAAAACAAAAUGAUGUAUAUCUUUACUACAUUAUAAAAUGGGAUUUGGUGAGCUAUUUGUCCUUUAUGAUUCAUGAGAUUUUAAUUCUAUAGUGUUUUUUGCUCUUAAUAUAUUAUUGUGGUUAUAGAUUUAUCAUUGACACAAUAUAUGUAGAAACUUUUUUGAUCUAAAUAAGAAGAACAAAAGUUUACGGGAUGCUUUUUGAUCGUUCCCUUUACCUAGCUUCCAAUUUCUAUUGUCAGAAACACAUUUUUUUUGUUCCUAUAGGAAACAUAUGCAAAUAAAAGAUUUGCCGAAGCUUUUUGAGUCCCUGAUGCAUACUAAAUACAGUCCUAGAACAAUAUGCUUAUGCAUAAUAACAAGCUGGAAAAUUGCUCCAAAAUAACACUUAAAACAUAUAAAAGAACAAAAAAAUCCAUUCUGAAUUCUAAAAUGAUCUUUCAAUGUAUGCAGCAAACUGCUUCCUUUAUAAUCUGACAAAACUCGCAGGACUUAUCAUGACGCAUGAAAGGAUAUAGUAAACCAUCACACCGAAGCCGAGGUUGGCUUUGUUUCCUUAUUUUUGCGAGAAGGUGUCAUAGUUCUACUAUUUUGAUUAGCCAUCUAGAGGGAUGACAGUGCAUGCAAUCAUUUAAAUAAAAUAAUACAAAGAUGCUGCAUGAGUCAUCAAUUCAAACAAGAACUUGUUUCAUGUGAUUUUUUGUGUAAAGUGGAAACAAAUUAUUUUUAUAACAACUAAUUCGACAACACAAGUGCUACACCGUGAUCAGUAUAUGCAUAUGAUACGAUCUAGCUAUUUUCCUUUGCACGGGUGGUUUUUAUCAUGAGGUAGGAGGGUUCGUACAAGUCGACUAUCAGCUCUCAUGCAAUGCUUUAAAAAGAAAAACGAGAGGAAUUUGUGAAUUUUUGUAUAACAUUGCAAAUUAUAUGAAAAAACUUUUUAAUUUGUCAGAACUUUUAGGAGGGAGUGAGUGGCAAAUGUUGGAAGACAUUCAAAGUUAGGAUGAUGGGAAUGCCUAUGGCAAUUUGGAGAACUUGGAGAAAACAUAUGCGAACUUGAGCUAGGUAGCAAUGUAGAGCUUAAUUAAGCUAAAUGGUUCAUAUUCAUUUGUUAGUCCAUGAGUUCGAGAUGAUGGACUCAACAAUUGGAUAGAUUUGGAGGGAACACGAAUUUGGAGUAGUGUGACAACAUAGCGAAGUAAUGACACAAUGGUCGAAGGGCUGAAGUUGAGGGGCUUGUGAUAGAUCCAUUUGUUGGCCCGUGGCUGCGCACGGGCGUUCUACUAGUAAUCAUUGGUGGCUUCUUUGACCACCAGACGGCUUAUUGACUUCUUCCACUCGAGGAUCACCGUGGAGCAAUCCUUCUUCCCCUUCCUACAGAAGCACGCCAACCACAAACAAAUGCUCAAAAAGACCUUAGCAAAUGCCAUUGAACUAGAUUGUAGGCAAGAGGAAUCUUAUUAGUUGGUAGAUGUAGAUGUCGAGGCCUCAUCAUUGCUUGCCAGAGGCCUCAUGUGUAUGUCGUGCGUCCCACCAGAGGCCUCUUUUAAUUAGAGGAAGGGCGGUGCGGAGAAGACAUCAUUAGUCACCCUGGGAGAAGAAAGUUCGGUGGCGGUGCGUGUAAAGAGGAGACUUUGGUAGUUUCUGGUGGAGUUGUGGUAGCCGUAGGGACGACGAGAGUGAGAGAGGACUGGGGACGGAGGAGAGGUGAUGGAUGGAAAAAAAUUGGGUGAUUGAGGACGAAAACCAAGAUGAAAANNNNNNNNNNNNNNNNNNNNNNNNNNNNNNNNNNNNNNNNNNNNNNNNNNNNNNNNNNNNNNNNNNNNNNNNNNNNNNNNNNNNNNNNNNNNNNNNNNNNNNNNNNNNNNNNNNNNNNNNNNNNNNNNNNNNNNNNNNNNNNNNNNNNNNNNNNNNNNNNNNNNNNNNNNNNNNNNNNNNNNNNNNNNNNNNNNNNNNNNNNNNNNNNNNNNNNNNNNACUAGAUGUCUCUGUAGUGAAGUAAUAUGAGCAUAACUUAAUUGAUCAGUGUAAAACUUUGAAUUGGUUAAGUAUACUACACUAAAGUAAGUUGUAAAGCCUAAUUGCAAUUAUAUCUUUGAGGGCAAUGCUUAUGAGUUGCGUGACAAUCUUGUCUGUUCUGGAUCUUGCAUCUGAUUCUAAUUAAACAGUACAUGUUAGAUGUUUUUAAUGAGGUCCACGUUAGAUUUGAUUGUUAAUUUAUAGUGCGGGUGAAAGCGGAUUCUAUCCUUUUCGUCUGCCAUUUUUCCUUUCAUAAAAUGUGUCCAUGGAGUAAUUCUCCACAAAAACAAACUUAACUGGACAAAAUAUCCACGGCAAGUCGCAUAUCUUGUGCAACUGUUCACUGUUGAAAGCUUAUUGUGCCACUACCCAUCAUUGCAAGGAAAAAAUACAGAAGAUUUAUGUUCUACCAAAUACAUUCUUUUGUUCAGAUUUAGCCAGGUAUGAUCCUGGUUGCGUCAGCCAUUAGAGUACAUUGCGAUCGACUAGACAGUUUCAGUGCUCAUCUUGCCUACUUUUGCAGCACUAGAUUUGCGAUCAGGUAGAUAAACACAACAACAAAGGAGACGACAGAUGCCAGCGGCCCAUAUUUCCCAAGAAUUCUCUGUGGGUUAAUUCCAUAAUACGGAUUGAAUUCUCUACUGGCACGGAAUCCAGCAACAAGGGCCACACCAUGCUGACACUAGCAGCUAUGUGUUGCUCCCGUGGGCAAGACCUGCCCAAGGAGGAUAGGUAAGAGAAAUGGCUGAAGACACACCAACACCUGGCAACAUGUAGGUUCAUAUUUCACCCCCACCCUUGGAUAAAACCGUGAAUCAUUUGAAACAUAUUAAAACUUGAGUGCAUUUUUUAUUUUGGAGAAAUAUAUAUGCUCACAAGAGCUUAGGAGUCACACGUCGGUUCUAGGUAAUUAAACAAACAAGAACAUUCACUUGUUGAGAAAUUUUACCACCUCUUCUUGCUUCUUUUAUGACACUAGAACUUGACGGGCUUUGGGUCACCUCCUUUUCGGUUUAUAAGGCUUGCGCGUAUCUCUAGGUUGACAAAUAGACCAACUUAAUACAAGUUGUAUAUCACAAAAAAUAUAUAAUUAGGAACUUCAAAUCGUAUACUUUCUAAUGGUAUAAUUUUUAGACUAUACAACUCAUGUUAUGUUGGUCAAGUUAUAGAUCCAGGGAUAUGUACAAGCCUUAUAAACCGGAAAGGAGGUAUGUUAGUAGAUAAACAUGCCAAUUAAGGACUUCUUGACAAGUCUAUGCAGAUUAAAGGUAUGUUAGUAGAUGGUGUAAUAAAUACAUGCUUUUAGCUAUCUAAGGAUACAAAUAUGCCACUAUUUACUUUGUAAAUGCUCGAAAUCAUUCUCAGAAAUUUUAGUAACAACAGUUGUCAUGAACAACUUGGACUAAAUGCAUCAAAUGUUACAAAUAAUACAUAAAAACAUUCAAAUGUACUUAGAGUGAAUCAAUUAAGACGUGUAAAGCUAGUACUAAUCCAAUAUUUCUUAAUGACUUGCAUAUACUUACAACACUUGACGUAAAGAGUGAAUCAAUUAAGACGUGCAAAGCCAGUACUAAUCCAAUUUUAUUAAUAGCUUCCACAAAAUUACAACACGUGGCGUAAAAAGGGAAUAUGAUGAGUCAUGUAUUGAUAACGUGUACAACAUUACUACCCUUGACAUAAAAAGAGAAGUUGAUGAGUCAUGUCUUAAUAACGUGUACAACAUUACUAUCAGCUUGUUCAUCUUACCAUCAUACUAUACAACACUAUAAGUUAGUUUAAAAAAGAAUAAGAGUCCAGAACAAACAUCACAAUACUAGCCUGAUCUAUAUUAACAACAUGCACAAGGACACAAAUUUAGUUCCCCGCAAGCUAUGAAGAUUUGGUUUAUGUCUAACAACUUGUACAAUAUGACAAACUUAGAUCCAAAAGGAAUGCAAACCAGAUAAUUGUAAUGCAAUCCAGAUAAUUAUUUGACAUGCAAAGUGAAUAAGAUGAGUCACUACCAAUUAUCAAGUUUUCCUCACUCUUAGAUGAUAUGAACCAUAAAAAGGCAACUUUGAUGAUCACUCCAUAAUUACGUUUGUAUGUAGUGCCACCAAACACAACACACAAAAUAAUUAGUUCGAUAAGCAUCGAAUCACUUUAAAAAGGAAAGCAAAAAUGGAAAGAAACCUAACCAUGGGAGCUAUAAAAAGGCCUGCAAUAUGUAGACUCCAUACCAUCAUCCAUCCUUCACACAACUAGAGCACAAGUAUCAAAUCCAAGUACGUAGUGGUUAACGCAAAUUAACCAUGAAGACCUUACUCAUCCUAACAAUCCUUGUGAUGGCAGUAACCAUCGGCACCGCCAAUAUGCAGGUCGACCCUAGCGGCCAAGUACAAUGGCCACAACAACAACCAGUCCUGCUGCCUCAGCAACCAUUCUCCCAGCAACCACAACAAACAUUUCCCCAACCCCAACAAACAUUCCCCCAUCAACCACAACAACAAUUUCCCCAGCCUCAACAACCACAACAACAAUUUCUCCAGCCACAACAACCAUUCCCCCAACAACCACAACAACCAUAUCCCCAGCAACCACAACAACCAUUCCCCCAGACUCAACAACCCCAACAACUAUUUCCCCAGUCCCAGCAACCACAACAACCAUAUCCCCAGCAACCACAACAACCAUUCCCCCAGACUCAACAACCCCAACAACAAUUUCCCCAAUCCCAGCAACCACAAUAACCAUUUCCCCAACCCCAACAACCGCAACAAUCAUUCCCCCAGCAACAACCAUCGUUCAUUCAGCCAUCUCUACAACAACAGCUGAACCCAUGCAAGAAUUUACUCUUGCAGCAAUGCAGACCUGUGUCAUUGGUCUCAUCCCUCUGGUCAAUGAUCUGGCCACAAAGCGCUUGCCAAGUGAUGAGGCAACAAUGCUGCCAACAACUAGCACAGAUUCCUCAGCAGCUCCAGUGUGCAGCCAUCCAUAGCGUCGUGCAUUCCAUCAGCAUGUAGCAAGAACAACAACAACAACAACAACAACAACAACAACAACAACAACAACAACAACAACAACAACAACAACAACAACAACAACAACAACAACAACAACAAGGCAUGCGUAUCCUGCUGCCACUAUAUCAGCAACAACAGGUGGGUCAAGGUACUCUCGUCCAGGGCCAGGGCAUCAUCCAACCCCAACAACCAGCUCAAUUGGAGGCGAUCAGGUCAUUGGUGUUGCAAACUCUUCCAACCAUGUGCAACGUGUAUGUCCCACCUGAGUGCUCUAUCAUCAAGGCACCAUUUGCCAGCAUAGUCACCGGAAUUGGUGGCCAAUGAAAAACGCAAGAGCCAUACUAAUAGGUAGAUGGAUCAUCGUUGCUUAGCUGAUUUACCAAUCGAUGUAACGAUGCCAAAUAAACUGGUGUGCACCAUCAUGUGUCAUCCUGACCAGUGCUAGUUCAAGAUUGGGAAUAAAAGAGAAGAACGUUCAUGUUUGCCAACAUUGCUUGUCAUUGUUCCAUUCACUGUGUAUUUAUAUUUUCAUCCUGAACUGCAAUUCUAGUCUUACACAUCAAUAGCUAGUUGCUCAUGUCGGCAGGUUCCUAUGUAAUCUAAUGAUUAAUGGUCGACCUAUUAAUCUAGUUUAUCGGCCGAUUGAUCUAUUAAUUGGUGCUCCCAAGCCGACCGAGCAGCCAUCAGUUACCGAUUUCCUGAACAUUGCACACAAUAAUAAUUCAACGUAUUUCAAUGUCUAGAAGUAAAAGGGCCAUAUAAGCAGUAAAACAAGCGCCUGAUUAGAAACCAUCCAUCACUUUAAAUUAAUCUAGAUAUUUUUGUGUUGGUGCAAUUUUGAGUUGAUGGCACCGACACAUUCUUGAAAGAAAUUCUACAGGGAACUCCAAAGAGGUGAAAAUCAAACUAAAGUUGCCACAUGGUAAAAGAUAAAUCAUGCGGCAAGCAAGAGGAAAUAUUGAGUCACAAUAGCUAGCGCCAAACAUGUAAUUAAACUAUUCUUAUGGUUUCUUGCAAAGAGGGAAGUAAUUUACAGAUGACAAACAAAACGUAAUUAGCAUUAGUUCUAAUUGAUUGUAGAAAUUUCUUUUAUCGGUAGAAUAACUCAGUUGUUAUUUAUUUAAACAUGCACUGUGAUAUUGACUUAUCUCAAUCUAGGAACACAAAGCAAAUACUACAUUUGCUGCUAUGGACUCCAAACAGAUGAGAAAUCAUUAUGUGUAGAAGUUCCUUAGAAGGAUAUUUUGGCCUAAACAAAUUUAACAUUGUACUCGUGUCUUACAUAGUUAAAGCUGAAAAAUCAACAUAACCAGUGGACACUUUGUAAGACAAGUGUGGGAAACAAAUAGUAGGAUAUAAAUUUGAGUAGAAUGUUUGCUCAAAUGUUGAAAAAAUAACCCAGCAAACUAAAACUCAGCAAAACAGUCUAUUCUACCUUAUACGGACUGUCACAAUGAUAAUGCUAUGUUUUUUUGGAAUACAAAUUCAAAAAAAAUCAGCCACAGAUCCCUGAGCCCAUCCAACAGGAGAGCUUCAAUUGAAAGAAGUAUUAGUUCGAUUAGACCAUGUAGUACCUAAAGGAGGAUGGUGGCCCCAUGGAACAACUCCAGCCUUUCCAUUGUGUCCGGGCGCAAUGCGAUAAUGGAGUUAUGGUCAUUGGUGGCUUCGCUGGCCAUAGACGGCUUAUUGACUUCUUCCACUUGAGGAUCACCGUGAACCAGUCCUUCUUCCCCAUCCUACAUAAGCAUGCCAACCACAAAUAAAUGCUCAAAAAGACCAUCUUAAAUGUCAUUGAACCGGAUUAUGGGAGGCAGAAUCUUAUGACUCGGUGGAUGCAGAUAUCGAGGCCUCAUUUGUAUGUUGUGCCUCCCACCAGAGGUGUCUUCUAAUUAGAGUGGUGCGAGAAGACAAUAUAAGCCACCGUGCAAGCGAAACAAUUAGGAGGCACUGCUUGUAAAGCGGAGAAUUUGGCACUGUCUGGUGGCAUUGCGGUAGCCGCAGGGUGGAAGAGAGAGAGGGAGGGAGGGAGGGAGGAUGAAUCGGAAAACCAGGAGCAGGGGUGAUCAACGAUGAAAACCAAGAUGAAAAAACAAUGUGCAAGAGAGGAAGAGGAAUAGGCUAGCUAUUUCUGUAGUGAAGUAAUAUGAGCAUAACUUAACCCAUAGGUGUGGAACUUGGAUUCGGUUGAAGUAUAUACUAUACUAAAGUAAGCUGACUAAUUGCAAUUUAAAUCUUUGGUGGCAAUGCUUAUGAGUUGUGAGGCCAUCUUGACUAUUCUGGAUCUUGCAUAUGAUUCUAAUUAAACAGUAUAUGUCAGAUGUUUUUAAAGAGGCACACAUUAUAUUUGAUUGUUGAUUUACACAUUCUAAUUAAACAUUAUAUGUCAGAUGUUUCUAAUGAGGCCCACGUUAGAUUUGUAUGUUGAUUUACAAAGGGAUUGAUAAGUUGAUUCUAUCCUUUUUCCUCUGCCAUUCUUCCUUUCAUAAAAUGUGUCCAUCGAGUAAUUAUCCACAAUAACAAACAUGACUAGACAAAAUAUCCACGACAAGUUGCAUAUCUUGUGCAACUGUUCACUGGUGAAAGGCUAUUGUGCCACUAUCCAUCAUUGCAAGGAAAAAACACAAAAGAUUUAUGUUCUAUCAAAUAUAUUAUUUUGUUUGGAUUUAGCCAGGUAAGAUCCUGGUUGCGUCGGCCAUUAGAGUACCUUGCGAUCGACUAGACAGUUUCAGCAUAUCUUCUUGCCUCCUUUUGCAUCACUAGAUUUCGAUGGGCUUGCGAACAGGAAGAUAAACACGGCAACAAAGGAGACGAGAGAUGCCAGUGAUCCAUAUUUCCAAAUAAUUCUCUGCAAGUGAAUUCCAAAGAAUGCAUUGAAUUUUGUGCUGGCGUAGAAUCCAGCAGCAAGGGAAACACCAUGCUGACGCUAGGAGCUACGUGCUGCUACCGCGAGCUCCCAUGGCAAGACCUGCCCAGGGAGGACCGGCAAGAGAAACGGCUGAAGACACACCAAGACCCGGCAACAUGUAGGUUCAUAUUUCACCCCCACCCUCAGAUAAAAAUGUGAAUCAUUUCAAACAUAUUAAAACUUGAGUGGAUUUUUUUAUUUCGGAAAAAUAUGCCCACAAGAGCUCAGGAGUCAACGUCAGUUCUAGGUAAUUAAACAAACAAGAAGAUUGACUUGUUGAGCAAUUUUACUACAUUUUCUUGCUUCCUUUUACGACACUAGAACUUGAUGGACUUCCGGUCAGCUAGAUAAACAUGCCAAUAAAGGACUUCUUGACAAGUCUGUGCAGAUUAAAGGUAUGUUAGUAGGUGGUGUAAUAACACAUGAUUUUAGCUAUCUAAGGAUACAAAUAUGCCACUAUUUAUUUUGUAAAUGCUGGAAAUCAUUGUCGGAAAUCUUAGUAACAACAGUUGUCAUGAACAACUUCGACUAAAUGCAUCAAAUGUUAGGAAUAAUACAUACUAACUUAGUUCAAUAAAUUAACCUAUUGAAGCAAGAAAAGAAACCUUGAAAUGUACUUAGAGUGAAUCAAUUAAGACAUGCAAAGCCAGUACUAAUCCAGUUUUAUUAAUAACUUCCACAAAAUUACAACACGUGACGUAAAAAGGGAAUAUGAUAGGUCAUGUAUUGAUAACGUGUACAACAUUACUACCCUUGACAUAAAAAGAGAAGUUGAUGAGUCAUGUCUCAAUAACGUGUACAACAUUACUAUCAGCUUGUUCAUCUUACCAUCAUACUAUACAACACUACGAGUUAGUUUAAAAAGGAAUAAGAGUUCAGAAUGAACAUGACAGUACUAGCCUAAUCUAUCUUAACAACAUGCACAAGGACACAAAGUUUGUCUGCCACAAGAUAUGAAGAUUUGGUUUAUGUCUAACAACUUGUAUAACAUGACAAACUUAGAUCCAAAGGGAACACAAUCCAUAUAAUUGUUUGACAUGUAAAGUGAAUAAGAUGAGUCAGUGCCAAUUAUCAAGUUUUCCUCACUCUUAGAUAAUAUGAGUAGCAAAAAGGCAACUUUGAUGAUCACUCCAAAAUUACGAUUGUAUGCCGUGCCACCAAACACAACACACCAAAAAAUUAGUUCGAUAAGCAUUGAAUCACUUUAAAAAAGGAAAGCAGUGAUGAAAAGAAACCUAGCCAUGGUGGCUAUAAAAAGGCCUGCAAUAUGUGAGCUCCAUACCAUCAUCCAUCCUUCACACAACUAGAGCACAAGCAUCAAAUCCAAGUAGGUAGUAGUUAACGCAAAUCCACCAUGAAGACCUUACUCAUCCUGACAAUCCUUGCGAUGGCAAUAACCAUCGCCACCGCCAAUAUGCAGGCCGACCCUAGCGGCCAAGUACAAUGGCCGCAACAACAACCAUUCCUGCAGCCUCACCAACCAUUCUCCCAGCAACCACAACAAAUAUUUCCCCAACCCCAACAAACAUUCCCCCAUCAACCACAACAACAAUUUCCCCAGCCUCAGCAACCACAACAACAAUUUCUCCAGCCCCGACAACCAUUCCCCCAACAACCACAACAACCAUAUCCCCAGCAACCACAACAACCGUUCCCCCAGACUCAACAACCCCAACAACCAUUUCCCCAGUCCAAGCAACCACAACAACCUUUUCCCCAGCCCCAACAACCGCAACAAUCAUUCCCCCAACAACAACCAUCGUUGAUUCAACAAUCUCUACAACAACAGUUGAACCCAUGCAAGAAUUUCCUCUUGCAGCAAUGCAAACCUGUGUCCUUGGUGUCAUCCCUCUGGUCAAUCAUCUUGCCACCAAGCGAUUGCCAGGUGAUGCGGCAACAAUGUUGUCAACAACUAGCACAAAUUCCUCAGCAACUCCAGUGUGCAGCCAUCCAUAGCGUCGUGCAUUCCAUCAUCAUGCAGCAAGAACAACAAGAACAACUACAGGGUGUGCAAAUCCUGGUGCCACUGUCUCAACAGCAACAGGUGGGUCAAGGUAUUCUCGUCCAGGGUCAAGGCAUCAUCCAACCUCAACAACCAGCUCAAUUGGAGGUGAUCAGGUCAUUGGUGUUGCAAACUCUUCCAACCAUGUGCAACGUGUAUGUCCCACCUUACUGCUCCACCAUCAGGGCACCAUUUGCUAGCAUAGUCGCCAGCAUUGGUGGCCAAUGAAAAAAAACAAGAGCUAUUCUAAAAGUUAGAUGGCCAUCGUUGCUUAGCUUAUGCACCAAUCGAUGUAACGAUGACAAAUAAAGUGGCGUGCACCAUCAUGUGUGAUCCUGACCAAGUGCUAGUUCAAGAUUGGAAAUAAAAGACAAACUCAGUCCUUGUUUGCCAGCAUUGCCUGUCAUUGUUCCAUUCCAUGUGUAUUUAGAUGUCUGUCCCUAAUCAUAAUUCUAGCCUUGCACAUCAUUAGCUAGUUGCUCGUGUGGUUGUUGACAUGUUAAUCUAGUUAAUAGGCUGAUUGAUCUAUUAGUUGUUGCUCGCAAGUUGAUCGAGCAGCUAUCAGUUGGCAAUUUCCUGAACAAUGCAUACAAUAAUAUUUCAACGUAUUUCAAUUUCUAGAAGUAAAGGGUCAUUUCAGCAGAAAAACAAGUGCG